rnacentral:lncRNA from 1 species
GGGUACACCCCGGGCCAAGCCCAUUCCUAUACAAGUAUGCGGCAACCGAGACUCAACUACACCAUGACCCAACUGUAGCCCUUUUUUUCUUGGAGAAGGACAUGCAUCCAGGAAAAAUGAUGAACUUGCAGUUCACUGAAAACACUAACACAGCAACUUUCUUACCUCGCCAGGUUGCUGAUUCAAUACCCUUUUCAUCUAACAAUUUGCCAGAAAUCUACAGUGAGUUUUCAGUGAAACCUGGAUCAACAGAAGCUGAGGUAAUGAAGGAAACAAUCAAGGAAUGUGAAAACCCUGGAAUUGAAGGAGAGGAGAAAGAGUGCGCAACUUCACUGGAGUCAAUGAUCGACUUCAGCACUUCCAAACUAGGAAAGAACGUUCAGGCAAUCUCCACAGAAGUGGAAAACCAAACCCAGAUGCAAAAGUAUACAAUUAAGACCGGAGUAAAGAAGAUGGCAGGAGACAAAUCUGUAGUGUGCCACAAGCAGAACUAUGCAUACGCCGUCUUUUACUGCCAUGCAACACAAACCACGAGGGCUUACACGGUUCCAUUGGAGGGUGCUGAUGGAACAAAUGCUAAAGCUGUAGCAGUGUGCCACACAGAUACAUCUGCAUGGAACCCAAAGCAUUUGGCUUUCCAGGUGCUCAAUGUUAAGCCAGGAACCGUACCAGUCUGCCAUUUCCUUCCUCAGGAUCAUGUUGUGUGGUUUCCCAACUAGGAGUCUGGAUCCCAGUCAUUUCGUCUCUCUUCAGUCCACGGUAGCUGAAAUUGGAAUGUUGUAUACUUAUAUAUCUAUUCGGUUUUCACAAUAAUACAUCUAAAACCUACUACAAAAGAUCGAUUAUGUAUAAUAUAAAGCUUGCUGUAGAUUCAGUGAGUCACGGUGUUUAUUAUUAGAUAACGCCUCCUUCUGUUGCUAUUUUCCUAUCCACAUGAGCAUGUAAUGUGAAAAGAGAGACCUCCAUGAGAAGAGUAAACCAGCACAAAGGGCCUAUUUGGGCAUUUUGUUAAUCAUGUCCCCGUUCCCCUCAGAAGAUUUCCUCGUUCAUAGCCGAACUAAAACUCCAACGACGAAUAUUGCUAGCCAUUUCCCCAGCAGGAAGUCCAUUUCAUUACACCGCAAAUCUCAAGAAGACUACAGACAGUCCCACUAACUAUAGUUAUUGACAAAGAUGUUCCAAAAACCUCUGGGAAUGACAGGUUAGAAGAUCCGAGACACCAGGUACCUAGAGAACAUAUGUGUCCAACGAAAACCUCAUGAUGCGUUCCUUGGCACUAAACAUGCCUGCAGAUGUUAUUUUUCCAGGACGAGUUUUACUCUUCUAAUGUCUCCUAACGUAACUAGCAUGUAGAAGAUGGGUAGGAACAACAAUGAAAGCAUAAAUUUAUAAGGGGGUGUUUUUUCAUUAUAUUGGCACGCAAAACCCUAAAAGAACCCGGAUUAGAAUAGGGGGAAAGCCCUGAAAACAAUAACUAAAUAGCAAGAAAUAAACUAUUAUCCUAAACAACAUGACAUAUUCCUAAAUACCCAUAUAAAUAACAUUAUAUUUAUUUAUUUAUUUUGAAAAGGACGUUAGUAUUCAAAUUGAAAUAACUUGAAAAUAGUUCUCCUAACCACUGCUUUAAUCUCAUCCACCACUAAACUCAUCGAUAAAACCAUCCUUCCCAUAGUACACCCCAAAAUUCUUAUGGUGUUUAUUAGCAUACUGAAUAAAAGGUUUAGCAUAGGAGUUGCCUGUUGUCUUUCCAAAGUUGUAAACUGGAUUGCUCUUCUGCAAGAAUCUUAUUCUCUUAGCUACGGCAUUAAUGGACUCCUAUUGCCAUUUGGCUUGUUCAAAUACUUGUACCGGCAUUGUAGUUUGAGGAUCUUCAACAUUGGUCUGAUAUCAUCCUUUACAAAGCUUGAAAUAUAGCAUGAUUCUUAGAGGGAAAGGUUCAGAGCAUUUAUUAAAGAUAUGAGUUCUUCAAAUCUUUCCACAUACUCAUCUACACUCUUGUCUUGUGCUAACUUAUUGAAUUCUUCCACCACAUCCUCUCUAUUGCAAAAUCUUAUACACAAAGCUUUUGUAAACUCCUCCUAGCUUGCUAAAUUUUCUCCUACAUAUAAGAACCCUUUGUACCAAAUUUCUGCCUUACUAUCCAAGUAUAGUGAUGCUAGCUUUAACCCAUUGUUGCACUGGUAUGUAGUUUAACUUGAAGAAUUUCUUGCACUUAUGUAUCCAGCUCGUAGGAUUCUCUCCAUGGAUAUUUGACAGAUCAAUCUUGGAAUUGCCAUAUGAUGUCCCACUCUUGCUGCUUCUUGGUUACCAAAACAAUCUCCUCUUUGAUUCAUAAGUCCUCGCAGAUUCACCCUUUGAAUAAUACCUCCAGUUAUGGUGUUAACUCUUUCAGAUUCCUGACCUCCUCAGUUAGCCUUCAACAUAGUCAUUAUGGCUUCCAAUUAUGAGUUGAUCUGAUCAAGCUUCUUGCCAUGCUCUUCUGUAAUUUCUUGUAGGUGUUGAAUAUGCUCAUCAACCUUCCUGCCAUGCUCCUCUAAAGCCUUGAUCUUGUUGUUUUCCACCAUUGUUGAUAUCUCAGGAACAAAAACAACCUUCCUUUACCCUUGGAAAGUGGCCUUGAUACCAAUUGUAAGAAGAUUCCUUACAAGUUACUAGAAAAGGGAGGAAAAUAAAGGAGAGAAAGAUCUCGCAAUUUCUACAAAUUUUUCAUCAAUGACCACCUGGACUAUUGGUCAUUCAGUCAUAACUAACUUGCCCGUUAUUGAAAGAAUUGUGAACUCUAUAGUGUAUUGUAUAUGUUAAGAAGGCUGUAAUACAUGUGAUUUAUACAAGUUGCAGAAUAGGAAAACAAAUAAUCUAUUCUAAGAAGGUCAAUCACAAAACUAUGAUUGCCUCAAUGUCAGAAAAUACAAUAGGAAAAUAGUAAACAGAAUAAAAAGAAAUACAUAUUACAAUUGUAUAAUAUCUUUCCCUUUAACACUCCCCCUCAAGUUGGAGUGUGAAUGUCGAUUACACCCAACUUGUGAAGAUGGGAUUGGAACAGGGGUGCGGGCAGUGGCUUGGUGAAAAUGUCAGCUACUUGGAAUUGUGCUUUCACAUGAGCAGUCUCACGAACGGUGUGGCAAUCCAAUUCGAUGUGCUUGGUCAGUUCAUGGUAGACUGGAUUGGCUGCAAUAUAGAGGGCAGCUUUGUUGUCACAAAUUAAGGUGGCAGGUGGCGGGGUACUUGUAGAUCCUGUAAGAGGUAUCGUAACCAAGUAAGUUCACAAGCGGUGGCUACCAUGGACCGGUAUUCAGCUUCUGCGGAUGACCUUGAGACAGUAACUUGCUUCUUGCUUUUCCAUGAUAUGAGGGACUUGCCAAGAAAAAUACAAUAUCCAGUAACUGAGCGCCUUGUGAAAGGGCAUCGUGCCCAGUCUGCAUCGCAAUAUGCCGUCAAGUGUAGUGGCCCAUUCGAGGAGAAUAACAACCCUUGGCCAGGAGCUCCUUUGAGGUAAUGAAGGAGCCGAUGAGCUGUGUCAAAAUGAUGCUUCUGAGGGUCAUGCAUAAAUUGGCUGAGUGUGUUCACUGCAUAUGUGAUUUCAAGCCUUGUAAUGGUAAGAUAGAUUAAUCGUCCAAUAAGUCUCCGAUAACAAGUAGGGUCUUUAAGGGGGUUACUCCCUGUAGGCAUAAGAGCAACAUUUGCAUCCAUAGGAAUCUUUUCAGGUUUGGCACCAAGCAAACCUGCAUCUUCCAAGAUAUCUAGUGUAUACUUUCGCUGGUAAAAAGAAAUGCCAGAUUUGGACCGUGCAAUCUCAACCCCAAAGAAGUAUUUUAAAGGGCCAAGAUCCUUAGUUUUGAAACGAGUGCUGAGGAAAUGUUUAAGGUCUCGGAUGGCAGCAUCAUUAUUCCCAGUAAUUAUCAUAUCAUCAACGUAUAACAAAAUGACAGUGAAAGAUUUGCCUUGUGUUUGUGUGAACAUUGAAUAAUCGGCUUUGGAUUGAAAAAAACCAAUGUGUUGUAUGGCAGUUGAAAACUUACAGAACCAGCUUCAAGACGCCUAUUUCAAACCGUAUAUGGAUUUGUGGAGGCGACAGACCAUGUGCUCCCCCUGGCGUCGAUACCCCGACGGUGGAAGCAUAGACUUCUUCAUGGAGAUCGCCAUGCAGGAAGGCGUUGUGCACAUCCAUCUGAUGCAAAGGCCAACUGUAAACAGCAGCAACAGUAAGGAGGCAAUGAACGGUGAUGAGCUUAGCAACAGGAGCAAAGGUUUCGGUGUAAUCGAUGUCUUCACCCUGGGUAUAACCCUUGGCAACCAAGUGAGCUUUGUAUCUUUCAAUGGAACCGCCCGACUGGUAUUUAAUCUUAAAAAACCAUUUGCAGUCGAUCGGACAAUGACCUACAGGCAAUGAAGUGAAAGACCAGGUGUUGUUCUCCUCUAAAGCUGUGAUUUCAGAAUUCAUAGCUGCAACCCAUUGAGGGUGAUGAUGUGCCUCCUCAUAGGAGCUGGGUUCAACCAAUUGAGAAAUAUGAUUGAUAAAUGUACGAUGAGGUGCAGAGAAAUUAGAGUAAGACACAUACCGAGUGAUGGGGUAGACGUGACAGAGGAGGGAUUAGUAGGAGAGCAGAGUGGCAUGGUGGGUUUGGUAAUCUUUGAAGCGGGUAGGGAGUUUUGUGGGUCGGUUGGAUUGGCGAAUGGGCGGUGGAUUGAUGGCUAUGGAAGGGGUAGGGGAUGCGGAGGGAAGAUAUGGGAUGAUGGGUAAAUGAGGAGAAGAUAAGUCGGUGAUGGGUAUGGGUGGAGUAGAUGUGAUGGGAAGCAGGGGAGGAUGAGGGGGAAUGGAAGGGGAAUCAGGGAAGACUGGUUGGGGUGGUGUGAUUUGGUUAGGGAUGGGUGCAGGGAGAAGUAAUGGGUCGGGGGAAGAAUUGGGUAUUACAGUAGAGCCAUCUUGGGUUUCGGGUGGAGAUGUAGAGAAAGGGAAUGUGUGUUCAUGAAAAAUCACAUCGCGAGAGGAAAAAAAAUUUUGUGUGGUAAGGUCAUAAAGGCGGUAACCUUUUUGACCGAGGGGGUAACCAAAAAACACACAUCGGCGAGCCCGUGCAUCAAAUUUGUGCUUAGGAAGAAGAUUGGUGACAUAACACAGACAGCCGAAUACUCGUAAAAUAGAGUAAUCGAGAGAUCUAUGAUGUAAUAGCUCAAAUGGUGAUUUGUGUUUGAGUAAGGGUGUUGGGCGACGGUUUAUAAGAUAACAUGCAGUUUGUAAACUCUCCCCCCAAAAACGCAAGGGAAUGUUGGCUUGGAAACGUAGCGCUCGGCCAACAUUUAAGAGAUGACGAUGUUUUCUCUCGACAACACCAUUUUGUUGGGGUGUAUAUAGACAUGAGUGUUGAAAAUAAGUGCCUUUGUUUUGAAAGAAAGAUUUGAGAGACAUAAAUUCACUCCCAUUAUCGGCAUGCAAGGAUUUGAUAGGAAGGUUAAAUUGGGUUUGGACCCAAGGAAAAAAUGAUUGAAUUACCCCUUGUGUUUCUGAUUUAAAAUUUAGAAAAUGGAUCCAUGUAAAUCGGGUAAAAUCAUCUACAAUGGUUAAGAAAUAUCGGGCACCAGUAUGAGUACGUAUUUUGUGUGGUCCCCAAAUAUCACAAUGAAUUAAAUCAAAAGGUGCAGUGGACGCUUGUGAAGUAGAUGGAGAGAAAAAUAAACGAGUUUGUUUUGCUAACGGGCAAAUAUCACAAACAUGUUUUGGAUCACAGACAAUUUCUGAAAUUUUAUUUGAAAGUAAUUGAAGGGGCGUUGGAUGGGUGGCCCAAACGUUGGUGCCAAAGAUGGGAGGUGUGGUGGACAUGGUGAGCUAGAUGUGGAUUUUGGGUAGCUGUGAGGUAGUAGAGCCCAUUAAAUUGCUUGCCCAGGCCAAUCGUCCUCCUCGUGGUCACGUCCUGCACAAUACAAAAUUUAUCAAAGAAAAUCACAAUACACUGCAAUCCUCGUGUCAAUUUGCUCACAUAUAAUAAGUUCACAUUAAAUUGAGGGACGUGAAGAACUCCUUCAAGAGUUAUUGUUUCAGAUACUUUAACGGACCCAACGUUGUGAAUUUAUGCUUUUCCUCCAUUGGGUAACCCAAUAAAAUCAUGAGGAGCAUGUAACAUGUUAUGUGUAGGUGCAAAACAUGAAAUGUGAUCUGACGCUCCACUGUCCAUUAUCCAGUAUAUGUUUGAAUGUGGGUUAUGCUGUGAUAGAUUACAGGUAGGUGUAACAGUACCUGUUGCAUUUGCACGUGAAAAAUUACCGGAUUGGUUGUGCAAGAGGGCGAGCAAUUGAUUAUAUUCUUCGGUGGUGAAAGUUGGACUUUCAUUUGGCUUACUGUCAUGCACUAAGGUGGGAUCCCUGUCAACAGUGUAGGCAUUGGGUCUUUUAUUCCUUGGCUUGGCAUUCUUUCCAUGUAACUUAUGGCCCACAGGAAAACCAUUGAUAUAAUAACAAUUUUCCACCGUGGGUGUCUCCAUCACAGUAAGAACAAUUGAGUUGCUUCUUCAGAUAAGGAUCGUGCUUCCCUUCUCCAUUACCAGCACCAGGCAAUUUUGUUCUCAUUUGAUUCCUAGGUCUUGUCCCUCCCCUGAUGUAGCGACUGGUCUGCAUAGCAUGGGGUCUGAUCUGCCGAUUUGCCACAUCCAUUUAUCGCUCGUGUUGGAUGAUUAAUCCAUGAACACGCCGUGUCUGGGAUCGGUGACAUCAUGAGGAUUGACCCACUCACUGUUGAGUAAGCUUCAUUAAGACCCAUUAGAAAUUGCAUGACUCUCUCCUUUUCUUCUCUUGAGACUUGUGUUUUGGAACCCUCACAGGUGUAUAUGAUGGGUUCAUAGGAGGAAUCUAAUUCAUCCCAUAGAGCCUUGAGUUAGUAUAGUAUUCUAAAAUUGUGAGGUUACCUUGUCGAUGCUCAGCAAUUUCUUGGCGGAUUUGGAAAAUCUUGGAGUCAUUGCUUUGUGAGAAUCAAUCCUCGAGGUCAUUCCAUACCAUAGAGGCACUAGUGCAGUAAAGCACAUUGCUUGCAAUAUCAGGAUUUAGUUAUUGUAAAAUCUAUGACAGCAUCAUGUCGUUGCAUCUUUGCCAAACAACAAAUUUGGUAUCGAUGCUUGCUUGAGGUGUGAUGGUUCCGUCAAUAAACCCCAGUUUGUUUUUGGCACUCAAGGCAAUACGCAUUGAGCGGCUCCAUUGACCAUAAUUGUAUUCUUCAAAGGCUUGGAAACAAGAACAAGCCCUGGUGAACUAUGCAGGGUGAGUGAGUUUGAUGUGUUGUCCUCCAUGUUUAUUUGCUCUGAUACCAUGAAAGAAUUGUGAACUCUGUAGUGUAUUGUAUAUGUUAAGAAGGUUGUAAUACUUGUGAUUUAUACAAGUUGCAGAAUCUAUUCUAGGAAAGCAAAUAAUCUAUUCUAAGAAGGUCAAUCACAAUAAUUGUGAUUGCCUCAAUCUCAGCAAAUACAAUAGGAAAACAGUAAACAGAAUAGAAAGAAAUACAUAUUACAAUAGCUGUAUAAUAUCUUUCCUUUUAACAGUUAUUAUCUUCUAAAGUAACAAACUGCAACUGAUUACUUCAACUAACAUAUGAAUCAAGUUUAUAAUUCCAUCACAUGCUUAGUGCGUGUUUGGGCAUGUUUGUCAUUGCGUUUCAAAAGCAUUUUUGAAAAUGUUGCUGCUCAAUUUUGUUGCCUCAACCUGCAGUUCACUCUUCUCCUCUAAUGUCCCAGCUUACCAUGCUAACUGUAACACAGAUUUUUCUCUCUAUCAGAAGGAAUAACUAAACAAAGAAACACUAUAAUAAUUAGACGACACAAUUAUGUCAACUGCAAGAUUGAAAGAGAACUUGGCCAUCACACGUGCAUAGCAUGCCUCUGUGUUUAUUUUCAGGAAAAUAGAAAAUGUGUUGGCUGACCAAACCACCUUCAUACCCAUGUGCACGUUUGUGUCCCCAGAAAAAUCUAAACGAUGCAAGUUUUUAGGACUUCACAAUAAUUAUGGUUGACACAGCCCCUUAGAAAUUACAGUCACAAUCUAAUUGUAUCAAAGAUAAAAUAAAUGAUUGAACACUAAGAAAAUGGAUUACAAACAAGAGAAAAACUAAAGCAGAAUCAUGGAGAGAGAGGCUUUAUCCCAUAUUAAUUUCUUUUUCAAUUGGUGAAGAGAAUUUAUGAGAAUAAAAGAAUGCAAUAAGGAGAAUAAGAAAAUCUCCAUGAAAUUAAAAAAAAAAAAAAAAGAAAUCAACAGGUCAUACAUGCUUACAUGCUUGAAGAAGUUUAGCAUAAUGUUGCUAGAUAAUAUUUACUCCAAGAAAGCAUCUGAAGACCCCAACUGGAUAUCUACUAAUAUUGGCAUUCACCAUGAUAAACUCCUGUGAAUAGACAGUAAUAUCCGAUUAUUCUUGUUUAUUUUAUUCAAAUCCCAAUAGCUGAUGAAAAAUGAUCACUUUAAUGUUAAUAAUUACCCAGUUACUCAUGGCAUUUAUUUAUUAUACCAACAAAAUAUGCUAAGCCAACAAAACAAGCUGCAAAAGAGAUUUAAGGCCUUCAUACCUGAUAGCUAGUCCAACAACUUGAGUGAUCACCAUAUCAAUCAAAGUUGGUUGACUUUGUAAAUCAUAUGAUGAAUCUAGUUUAGAGAUUUAAGGCCUUCAUUUAUUCCAAACAUAAUGUCUUUUGAAAGAAGACAUCAACCAAACUGCAACACAAAAAUUUAAGACAAAUUUCAGGUAAAACAAAUGAAGGGUUGAUUAGCCACACAUGCUCUAAAGCCUAUUGCCACAGGCCUCUCUUCAUCCAGCUGCAAAGCAAGUUAUUUGCUCCUAUUUUAAAUAUUUCUAGUGAAUGUUAUUGAAGAAGAAUUCUUCAGCUUAAAAUCUUAUUAUUUAAGCAAUAAGCAUAGCCUAUGGUUUCUGCUCAGUUGGCAUUUUCGUUAAUUCUAAAACUACAAUCAUACGCUGAAGGUAGAUGAAUAUUAUGUAUGGACAGAAUAUAGUAAAACUCAGCAAACAUUUUUCUAUCUGAAGAAAAGACAGCAGGAAGGAGAAGUGCUUAUAGAUAAAAACCAGUUCGUAUACCUGUACAAUACUACAGGGAACCCAAAUUUCUUUAAAUGUAAAAAAAAAUCUGAGUCUUAAAAAAUCAUUUGAUAUUAUCAUUAAACCAAAAAAUAGUUAUUUUGAAAAAAUAUAUAUAUAAUGAUAAAGUUUCCUACUGUUUAUCUUAGACAACAUAAUGUUUAUAACUAGAAGCAUUGUUUCUUUUUAAAAAAAAAAAAAAAAACAUUUUAUGAUUGUUAAAGCAAGUUAACAAAAAAUAUCAAAAUAGUAUGUCCAUAUUUUGUAUGAUUGAAAGCUAAAAAAAUCAUAGAUAUAAUAAAAUCAUGUUCAAAAUCUAUUUAAACAUUCUAAUAAUAAACAACCGAUUUCAAUCAAAUUUUCAUAAACAAUUCAUUAUUAUUAUUUUCAUAUCAAAAACAUAAUAAUUGAAGAACAGUUAUUAAAAUUCAAAUAAAAAAAUAUUUAAAAAACUUGUCAUAACUGAAUAGUAAGUGAAUCCAGUAAAUGUUUUUUGGAAAGUCAAAAAAACCAGAGAGAAAAAAAGCCAGCAAAGAGCCUAGCCCGCGCGCACGUGGUAGGCGAGGCUCGUGCACCCGGCCCUGCUCUAUUUUUUUUAUCAAGGGGGCAGAUGAUUUAAAAAAAAAAAAAAGUUAGAAAGUAGAAGCACUCCCAACACUCAAACCCGCAACUUGUGCCCUCCCCACAAGCGCCUCAACUGAUUGAGCCAUGACACAAAAUUGUUAUUAAACAAGUAUUUCAUUGUUUAUAUAAUCAGUAAAGCACUACAAGAAUCAAUACAAGAAAGAAGAGAAAGAGAAAUGUGUGUGCAAUUAAAGAGAUAGGAUAGAAGAGGAAAAAUUUGAGAAAACGGGUACAAAUAAUUUGGAAGAGAGAGGCUGAGGGGAGAGUUAAACAAUUGGUGUAAUAGAAAAUGUUAGUGCUACAGAAAUUCAAGGAAAAAAGAACAUCAUAGUAUGUUCAUGUUUGUUUCUUCAACUAGCUGUCCAUCAGUUUCCAUCCGUUCAGUUAUGAUUUCCAUUGUUGCAGAACAAAUAAUUCUUUUAUCUCCGCUUUUUCUUUUCUGAAUGCUUAUCAUAGGCAUCCAAAAUCAGCUGUGUGUGGUCACUGCACACUACAUACUUGCAAGAAAUAGGAGGAGAAAACUAUUGGGUUUGAUAUCCUGUCCACUGUUGGAAGUUAUCAACAGGAAGUGCAGACACAAUCGAAGUACAGAAUUGAUGUGGGUUCUUGUUUCCUCGUGCAAGUUGUCUUAGAGAUUCAUAACUAUUUUGCAAGUUGUGCACCAUGAGUUAAAUUCUUCAGCUACAAAACAAUAUUGAAGGUCCUUUAAGGCAGAAAUAUAAUUCCUGCAGCAUACAUUACUCUGUAGAAGGACCAGUAGACAUUUUUUCACAAGCCAUUAUGAUGGAAACUGGAAAAAUAUAAAACUUCCAGGUAAUGUUUGGACGACAUAUCCCAUCCAUGCCUCAGGGCACUGAGGCCUCCAUCAUUUAAGCCCUGAUAAACCUAGGACAACCACUAGUUUGCAUGUUAAGCUAACCGAUGGUAUAGUCAAAAACAUAGAUGGUGACCCACAACAGCUCCUAUAUAUUGGUUUGUUACGUGGUAUGGAAAUAAAGAGUGCCCAGAGCUCAAUCAUAUAUCCAAUGAGCAUGGUGAAAGAGAUACAAUACAACCAGAACACAAACAAAAUGCAUCUCAUCAGCGAUAUGUGCUUAUUUCAACUAAUUCGGCUUCCUUGUUACCAAUACAUACCUUCUUUUCCAACACUGAGUACGUUAGCAAUUGCUUGGCAGGUGACCUUGUAGGAAUUUGGAAUAGCUAUGUGCUCAUGAUUUCCUAGCACUGGCAGGAUCAGCAGCCAAGCUGUGAAAACAAAAAAUCAUUAGCACUUGUAUGUAAAAGGCAAGCUCAAUGAAGGACGCUGUAAGUCUUUGUUCCAAGAGAACUCAUACAUGAUCUCUGGUGAAACACAUAGGCAAUAUAUCUAGUGAUCUCAUUAGCUUGUCCACCAUGGAGAAGCAGUUCCUUUGCACCUCUGUGAUUUCUUCUUUCAACCUUCCAGAUAACAUCAGGUCAAGGCUUAUUAUUUCAAAACUGCAAUUCAAGUGGAGCCCAUAAAAUUUUCCAGCUCCUUGGGGAACAUUUUGCUCAGCAUAAAUAUAGAAGCUGGAAUCUCUGCAUAAAACUAUACUUAAAUCAGAAGAUCUGAAAUUACAUCUUCCAUCUUAUAAAAUAAAAUACUGUUAACCAAUUGAAUCACAUAACAUACAGUGGGCCAAAUUGCCAACAAUCUUCGCCUCUAACACCAUGCAACUGUUUACUUCUUUAUCAAACAACUCGUUCCUCAUGAUUCAGGCAUAAGAACUUCAUUUACGUGUUGAUCAGCAAGAAAAGGCUCUAAAGAGCCCCAGGUUCUUCCAACUUUUAGUUUGACAUGCAAAGGAACUGAAAUGAAUGUUGUACAAUUAUGGUUAAUUACAUUAUCAAGAUGUCAAGAUUUUGUUGGGAAAAAAAAAGAGUAUUGAACACAUACCAAGAAGAGAAGCAGCAUCUUCCAUGCUCAUUUGUAACAGCAAUGCAGCUUCAUUGAUCAAGGAUGGAUCAACUUCCAGCACUAGCUCGUCAUGUACCUGAAUAGUAGUCACCAAGAUUCUUAUCAACUUUCUCCAAUGACACUGCAACUCAAAGUUCAGAUUUAAAUGGGAACCUUGCUGGAUUGACAGAUCAUAGACCAACAAAUGCACAGAUCAGAGUUCCAGUGUCCAAGCAAUUACUAUAUAUACUUCUCAAAGACAUUGGAAAUGAAGGAAUAUUUCAAAAAAAAAACUGAAGAAAUUGAAGCAGUUUUCCAAAGUAACCUGUAAUAGAAUUCGGCAUUGGCCCUUCAGCAUGUGAAACUUGUUUGCAUGUAAAGAGCUAGACUCUGGCCUAUCAACUCCAUCAACAAUCAGAGAGUGUAUAUUUAUCAUUGCAAUCUUGAUUAAGUCAGCAGCAGAUCCCUGUAAGAAGCAGCUAUCAGGACAAAACUAUUAUUAACCCAUGCUGUCCUAAUGUCUUUGACCAUCCCAAAAAUCACUAUACCUGACAGAUAGAAUUAACUGCUUGUCUCUGAGCUUUUGAUUUUUCUUCACUAUUUCCGAAUUUUAUUUUCGACAAGAACCGUUUUCUUCCCUUAAUGGUCUCCACAUAUCUGAAUUAACAGUAAAUAGAUACUUAUACUGAUAAUUAAAUCUUAAGGAACAAGAAAACUUGAAUGCCAUGCUUAAUCACAAGUAACUUUAAAUACAGAGCUACACGCCUCUUGAUUUAAAAAGGAUUGUCUUCGCAUGACAUCAAAUAGAAAAUACAAGAGACAACUUACUUUUGAUACCAGUGAUGAUAUGCAUUAGAAGAGCAUGUACAGCUAAACAUUUGCAAAUAAAAAAGAUGACAAUACAUGCAUCCAAAAAGACUUCAAAAUUAUGAUGAUAUGCAUUAGAAAAACAUAUACAGCAAAACAUUUACUUAUAAAAAAGAUGAAAUAUAUGCAUCCAAAAUGACUUCAAAAUUAUGCAAUACCUUUACCACUUGAACUAAAUGAAAAUAGAUUAAGAUGACAAUAGAACUAAAAUAAGUCAAGUGAAGACUCACUGCAAUAAGAUAACACCCUUACCCUUUUUCACGGCAAGAUGCAACUGCUUCAUGGAGCCAGGAAGCAACCCCAGGAAAAGAACUUUUGAAGCUUUUAAUUUUUUCUGCAGCUUCAUCUGAGCUACAAUCCAGUUGUUCAGCAAGAGUGUUAGCACCCAUUCCAUAAAGAAUUCCAUAAACCAUCCUUUUGGUCUGAUCUCGCUCAACUGAGCUGACAGAAGCUUCAGGCUUCCCAGUCCAUUGUGCGGCUAUUAGGUUGAAAACAUCGCCAUGUGGCUUGGUAAGGAGUUUAAUUAAUGCAGUGUCUUUAGAGAAAUGUGCCAUCAGUCGCAAUUCUAUCUGAGAAUAAUCUGCUGUUAACAGUAGCCAGUUAUCCUGCAAUAAGAAUUUGAGCUUUAGAUCCUUUGGGAAUAAGGAUUGAUGCAUAGAAAGCAUAAUCUACAGGCCCCACAGGACUUUUAUCAUUCUCCAGUUUGCAUUACCGAAAGCAAGGGGCUAAAUUAGCUCAAGGAUUUUUAAUACCCUAGACUGUUUUACUUUUCCAGGCUAUACUUUCAAGUUCUAAGAAGAUAUUUGAUAUAUACUGGAUAAUAACUACAAAUACAUAUAAAUUCAUUACGUGAGAAGCAUGAGACAAGGUUACAAGCUAAAUGACCAUAUUACCUGAGUAGGAACAAAGAAGUCACGGGCAUUUAUUUUAUAAUGCUCAGGUUCAGCAUCAUCCCCCUCUUUAUCUGAACUCAUUUCGAAAUCAACUGCGUGUUCAACGCACUGCAUAACUCAAAAGCAAGAAUGGUUACCAACACUAAAAUUAAAUUCAGAUUACUAAAAAAAAGAAAAGAAAAGAAUCACUGUAACAAAAGAAAGGGUGAAUAUAAAUAAUUAUAACCUGAAGAUUAGGUUCUUCGAUUGAAAGCCGACCAGUAGCUGUUGAUGUUUGGAGCCAAUGGCCAUGUAGUGUGUACUUCUGAGUCUCCAUAGAUAGCCUUGCCAGUGAACAGAUUGAUCCCAGUGUCGAGUUUAAAAGCUUUGCUAAUGUCCUGUGCUCUCUGAUGACUGGAACAAUAGGAUGCUCAUGCCUGAAAGGAAACAAAUCCUAUUAAUGUACUUCUUUUCACAAACAUAAUAAAUGCAGCGAGUAAGCCACCAUGAAUCAUCUAGAUACCCAGAGCAUGACAGGAUAAACUGCUUUGUUUGUAAUCAAAAUGUACAAGGGCCAGUACUCAAUAAACUGUAAAAGCCAGGUAAAUUUGAAAGCAAUGCCUUCAAUCAGGGAUGGUCAUUUCUGGUAAUUCAGGCUGGAUGAAGGGAAUUCAGGAAGUUAACUUGAACUACACGUUUGGGUUGGGUAAGUUUGGCAACAUAAAAUUGGUUUCGGUUGGUUAAUGAAAAAGAAAUUUGGGUCACAUUGACCCAAUUUUCUUUUUCAUUAACCAACCGAAACCAAUUUUAUGUUGCCAAACUUACCCAACCCAAACGUGUAGUUCAAGUUAACUGAGCCCAUUUUGAAUUUGUUGGGCCCUUUAUAAUAAAAAUAUUAUUUUAUUAGUUAAAAUAAUAUAACUUGAAAAGCAAGAGACAACAUGACAAGAACUUACAAGAACUUAUGUGAACUAAUUAUCUUUUAUUAAAUUGUCUAUUUCAUAAUAAUAUAUAUUAAUAUUGGUUUUACCAAUGUCAGAUAAACUGCUAUGUUUGUAAUCAAAAUCAUUCUAGGAAACAAAUACCCUUUAUUUACAAUCCAUUUGUGAAUUGAAAAAAAAAAACACCCUAAAUCGACAAAUAAAAAGUUAAGGUGAAAAUCUUUGUAAGAUGUAAAAAGGGUAAUGAACAAAGGGAUGAUUCUCAUCUCAACAACUUUUGUUAGAACAUAAGCAUAGAAGAAAAAUAACACAAAUUGCAAUUUAAACAAGAGAUAAAAAUGUUAUUUCCAUUGUAGGAUAUAGGAUAUACAGGCCUUGCAUCUUUGGAGGCCCAGAGUUAAGGAAUGAAAAAUUAUAUACGACAAAAUUAAAAAAGAAAAUAUAGUCCAGGUAACUUGGGUACCCAAACUUUCUCUUACUACAAAUUGCCUCAAAAAGAUUCAGGUUGUAACCUAAUCCAACUCUAAAACCAAUCUAAAGGAAUUAGUUAACCCAAAUUGAAUCAUGCAGUUCAGAUAAAUCCAGAUAACUCAGACCCAUAAAUCAAUUGAAACAUAUAUAUUGUCAAUGGGGUCUUCCAUCAUGCAAUUAAAACUUUCACAUUGAAAAACUAUAAGGUCAACAAUUAUAAUCCAUCCUAUUUAUUAAAUAUUCAGAUUUUAUCAGAGGCAUUACACCCAAAACAUUAAGAGUAAAGGUAGAAUUGGGCUGCUCUAAAUGACCACAAGAGCAAUUCUAUUACUCCAUUCAGGGCAUUGUACAGCUCAACAAAGACUUAAUCCAAAUUACUUUAUCUUGUAAGCAAAUAAGAAAAGAGUUGUGUACUUAUGACAAAAGCCAUAGCCAUGACAGUCUCCAGGAGCAAGAAUAACACUUGAUUAUCCACACAAAAAAAAAAAACACAGAUCUAUAUAGAUAACUUGGACAUUCAUUUUGCAUAUACAAAUAUUGCAAGAUGUGCUUAGCAUAUUUUUCACUUAAAGGCAUUGGUACUAAAAAGUAAGACCAUCUCAUACCUUAACAAAUCCAAACAAUGCUUGUCAGUGCUAGGAUGUUUUUUCCCCUUAUCGUGUCCUUCUGGAAUGGGAAGCUUCAAGUGUCUGUAUAGAAUAUUUGCAAUGUCUGCUGCUGUGUACAGUGAAAAUGUCAUGCCAGCCAGCUUAUAAGCCUUCUUCUCAAGAUACCUUAGCCUUUUCCCCAGCACAGUGCGUGCAUUUAGGCACCCCUCCAUGUCAACACCGAUCCCCCAAAGCUCCAUGUCAGCAAGAACAUUCACCUGAUACAAAUUUGCAAGCAAUAGAUUAGUAAUGUGAACAUCAAGUUACAGAGUGAAAUUACUGACGAUACUGGCUCAGUGAUUCCAAAACCAAAAAUAUCUCGCAUCACAUGACCAUUUGUGGAUGUGCAUGACCAGCCAUACGAGAGGCCAAGAUUCUAUGAAGAUACUAACACUAGAUGAUAGCAGCUUCCAAUUAAACAGUUUGAUAGCAACUUUUCUUCUACAAAACAAAUAAAGGAAUUUAAUAUAGAACAGAAUCUCUACCAAACGAUCAUGUGUUACCAUCCCAACAAUUUCCAUGAAAAUAAGUAAGGUGAAGCUCAAGAUAUUAAGCUCCAAUUUUAUUGAAAUAUCAUAUAAAAUUUUAAACUUUCAAUGCCUAGAAACAAAUUUACAUUUAAGGAAGUAUAGCUGAAAGCAACAGAAUAUUUACCAGCGGGAUUUCAAUGUUCUUGAGUGCUUCAAAGAGUCCCUCAGAAGUCAGUAACUUCCAAAGACCAGAGCAUAGGGCUCUUGUUUGCGCAACGCGGCGACAACAGCCAUUAUGAGCAACUCUUCGCAUCUGAUUCUUCCACCUGCCAUUCUGAUUAGCAGCUGCCACAGCCUCACUUGAUAACCUUUUCUUGACUUCCUGCAUCAUCAAUUCAUCAUCAUGACAAUCAGUGGAACAGGAAAGAAAAAAAUAAAAAAAAAGGUGCCUAUCAUGAAAAGGAAAGGAAACUUCCCCUUCCAAAGACAGACUGCACAAGCUAUUCUUCGGAUUCACAUUUUAAAUGCAGCUAGUUAAUAUUACCUUCUCCAAGUUCGGAUUGGAGCUUCUCUCCUCAUCAGGCCAAAGAAUCCAUGCCACAAUGCACAUGUCGAUUGCUUCUUUAAUGUUAAUAGGGGAUAAUGUAAAGUGCGAACCGCCUAUGAGUUCAGGACCAAAUAUUUUCCUUGGAAAACUCGGGCAGCCAAAUCUCUGAAUGGAAACUACAGCACCCUUGAGCACCUGAAGUUGAACUUUCAAAUUCCAAGUAAAUUUUAGGACACCUCUCUUUCCCAUUAUUUCUCCAAUCUUGUUCCAUCUCUUCCGAACUAUCUCCAACCAAUUCUCAGGUGGUUGAACAUUAUUUUUGUCACCAGAUUGACUGGGAGUUGAAUCAUUCCUUUGCUUAUGAGACCAAAGUAGGUCCUUAGGAAGAUUGAUGAAGUACACAGGAGAGUUUUCCCAGCAGAUGGCAAUACCAUGUAUUUCAAAUAGGCUGACAGAAUUUACUUCUGAUCGCUUGUUAUAAUGGAUAUCAAAAUAGAAUUCUUGGGUAGCAUCCCAGAGAUCCAAGAAAGAAUCAAAUCCACCAGAAAUAUUACUUGCAUUAGUAGGACCCUUCUUACAAGCACUGUCCUUUUUAUCACUACUUAAAUUCUCUCCACUACACUGCCCCUGAACUCUGGUAUCAGUGAUCCGGUCAUUGGUCCCAGUUCCAUCACCGCUAUGUCCAAAUUGUACAGAGAGGAUUGUUUCUGCACUAUUCUUAUUAUCACCAGUAGUACAAAGCUCAGUGCCAAGAUUUGAAGAUUUCUUAGCUGGUACUGUAGAAUUUUCAGCACCAAUAUAGCACUGAACGGGACCAUUUGAGUUUCCUUCUGCAGCAACUACCAAUCCAACACUGACUGGUUUCAUUAGUUUGUCUUCUCCGGUUCCCAUUGUAACUUUACCAGAAUUCUUGCUACCUUCUAUGAACAGCAUAGAUGAAGCAUGAUCUCUUUUAUCCACAUGCAAAAUGAUAUUAGAUUUAUCUCCAAACAAGGUACCUGCAUUUCCUUGCUCAACAAGAUUUUCGGGAGCAUUGGAUAACAAAGGCGGAGAAAACUGUGGAACAUUGAAUCCAAGUGAUUUGAAAGCUUCAAAAGCAAUAACCCUUGCCUCUUCUGCUUUGUCAAGUACAAUUUUACGUGCACCAUUCUUGAUUUUCUUCGCAAUUCCCAAUUGCACGCGUCUUUGUGCUGAACCUUCUGCAUCAAUUUUCUCAACUUGUGUGAAUCAUAAUAAAUCCAAAUAUUUAAUACAUGCAUCUAUAAAUGCAUGCUACACAACAGAGAGAACAAGGGUACACAAAGUCUCUAUUAGAAGGCAUGUAGUAGGAACAUCAUUGCAAAUAUUAGAAAAGUUCCAUUACAAGUAUGAUACUAAAUAUGAGAUACUUAGAUUUAGAUCAGAUAUCCAUAGAUGCAUGUUUAGAAAACAGAAAUAACAACCAAGAAUGAAACCUCACCCCAAAAUUUUACACACUAAAACCUAAAAAAGAACUAUAUGCCCUAUGAUCCUAACCUGCAAACCUAUACUGAAUAUACAACCCUAAACUCUUCGGCACAUUUUCCCUAAGACCCCCAAAACCAAACCUGGCAUUAAUGAGAACAAACUCAGUUAGAAACCCUUAUAGCUGUAACUCAAUUACAUCUAAGUGUUAAAUCCUGAAAAUCUCAACCUCAAUGAUAAACAUGAAACCUAAAUCCAUAUACCAAUACCUAAAUUGCUGAGCACAAAAGGAAAAAAUAAAGGAUCACAAAGAAUACGACAGGACAAAACUAAAAUAUAGGCAUGUGCAUCUACACACACAACUUCAAUGCGAAAUAUAACUAUUAUAUUUGAAUGUAAAUAGAUCUUUACACACAGAUACAAUGUGCAGGUGCACAUGUAGUCUUGCAGACAGAGUGCAUGUUUGGGCGUGCCACAAAAUCCAAACCAAGAAUUUGUUUCUCAUACACCACAAGAAAGACUCGUUUUCCUAUCUAAGAAACUCAUCCAUUACAAAUUGCCAAACCUAAAGCAUGCAACAACAUUCUAGAAUCUGUUGCCACUUGGCAUGAUGUUCAUAUAUCUGUGAUUUCUUUCUUCCAAAAUAUAAAAGGUACAAACCUCUCAAAGUGGGGAAAGAAUUCUGUGAUAAAUAAAUUCCAUAAGAAUCACAAAAUAAUCUCCCAUAAAAGAAGAAAUCGCAUGUAAGUUACACCAAGGAAAGUCUUCAGUUAGGACAUUUUAGCUAGAAUAAAGAUAGCAUGCAUUUUCUACACAAAAUCAUCAUAUAAGAGGUCAUGUGCUGAAAACUCUAUCAAGUUCACCUUGUGCAGACCAUGAUGAAGAUUCAAAAAGUGCUUUGCCUAUUUCAGGAAUAGAUGCUUCAGCAAUAGCUUGAGGAGUACGCAACCCUGCUUUAUAGAGUGCCCUUGCUCGAGAACCCUACAAAUGAAGCAGUGAAAAUAAUGGCCAUCUCUGAAUCAUUAACUAGAAACUUUGAAGCAUCAACAGGAUGACAAAUAACUAUUACAACUAUGUGUUAGCAAUCUUGCAGAAAAAAAUAGAAGCAAUUGAUUACCUUAACAUAUGGAAUAUUAGUGAGCUCCACAAUCUCUGCUCUCACUCCAAAUGAAACACGAUUUUGGAACUUCGCAACCAGACCUUCAAGAUCAUGCCAUCCAAGUCUUUCACAAAACACAGAAACCAUAGAUGCAAAUCUUCCAGCAUUCUCUUGUAAGGAUUGGACCAUGCCUCUAGCAACUUUAAAAGCUUCACACACCUCAGGUACAGGUGCUUCCUUUAUGCCAGAAUUUAAACAGCAUUUAUUCAGCAAAGCAAUGAACUAAAAAAUAAAUAUAAAAAUCAGCAUUUAUUAGCAAGCAGAAGCAAACACAACCCAUGAUAAACAAAUAUUAGGUAUCAUAUCCAGGUAACCAUGUGAAUAAAUAAGCAGAAUACUUGAUAAAUAUACUUUUUCUGGAUAAAGAAACAACCAAGAAUCUAUAUUCAUAGUAUAUGCAAUUUACACAUGGUAUUAUAUGCCAACGCGCACGAAAUAAACACAAAAAAUAGAUGUACUCAAAAGGAUGUGAAUCGCACAAGAAAAUAUUUGGUUCCCUGAGUCAAUAUUAUUGAUCAGAUAGGAGGAAAAAUGAAAAGGGAUGAAACACCUGCACAAGUCUUGACAAGAUGAGAGCAACAAAAAAUCUUUUGCACACCCUACGUGUCUGAUCAUCUGAAAUGGCACUUUUGUUUGUAACCCCAGAUUGGUUUUCAUACUUGCUGGCAUGCAAGGCUUUUGUAUUAUCUAUUGAUCUGUUCAAGCUGCGCAUAGGUGCUCCAUGUGCCAUCCGCAUCAAAAAUGGCUCUGAAACUCCAACUCGAUUUCCAACAGACUUCAUUCCAUGAAAUUGGAAAAGAAAAGGGUAAGAUAUUUAAAGCAUUAUUGAAAAUCCAGAGAAAAGAUCAAUCAAAUGUGAAACAAUAACUCAAAGAUUGGGAAAAAAAAUGAGCAGAGGAAAAACAUCACCUCUAUUUCUACUGUUUAGUAAUUUAAUCAUGCAUAAUAGUACCAAUAUCUGUUAGUUUACCUGAACUAAUUACAUGAAGAAAUUAUGUUGGUUCAAUUCUACUGCUUUUUUCUUUCCUAUCACUCUUUGAAUUUUAAUGAACUUGGUGCUCUGAUCAUAUGUUCUGUGCUAAGUGGCAUCUACAUAGAGAGGUCAAAAGAUUUGAACUCUAUGUGGCUUUAAUAUCACCAAGCAGGUUACAUCUGAAAAGACCAUUGGCCAGGAUUAAAGAAUGCUAUUCAGGAAUCACAUGUCACACACCAAACAUAUAGAUUCAACAUACAGAAAUCCAUCUCUCACAAAAAUUGGAAAGCGGCCACAAGGUAUCAGUUGUCUCCAACUUGCAACGAAAAGAAUGCCUAAUAUCAACUGACACAAGGUGAUCAAAACCAACAACAUUACCUGAUCAAGGAUAGACAAUUCCAUAAACCUUUCAUAAUACAAUUCCCAGUUCGGCUCAACAUCAACAUUGAUUGGUGUGACUAAGAACACUAAAUGCAAAUCGGACGCAAGCACAAAUCCUUCUCGUGCUCUGGAAAGAUCAUCUAGCACAAUCUAGGAAACCAGACAAAAAACCACAAUAAAUGAAAGCACAGGCGCGUGUCAAAUAGUUAGCUACAGCAAUUAAGAGAGAAAAAAUUGAAAAGCAAGCAAACUCACUAAGAGAAUGCUUAGGAAAACAUGUUAAACAAAAGGGAUGCAACCAACAGAACAUUGGUCUGGAAAUGGAGCGAAAAAUGCAGAAAAAAUAAGGCUACAGAUCUUUACAAGUGAUUCUUCUGGACAAAGAGAACUGCCAAAAGCUGCACGUCCAAGAGGUGUUGUGCCAUAUAGCUUAGUAUCUUCAUUCCAUUCAAGAAAUUUUCUGUGGCACAACCAUCUAAGUGAAUCCUGUGCUGAUUUCACAACAUCCCUGAACGGUUUUGUAGAAUUGAGAAGAGUACAUCUAACAUAACGAUGAAUAUCAUUAGCAGUUUGAACAAUCCCACCAGCCACAACUUCUAAAAUUGCAUGUGUCAUUCCAUUUUUAUCUUCAGAUAGACACGACUGCAAUGGUGGACAGCUUUCAUUAAGAAGUCCCAUAAUUCUUUUUAACUCUUCUGGUUUGCAAAUCAGUACCUGAUCAGGUAAAGCUAUACGACUGUUAAAUGGAAAAGGAUAAUUGCAUUCAAAAUAAAUCUAUGCCCUCUUCAGCAAAAUUAAAGGUAAGGAGACAAAACACGGAUUAUUCAAAUACUACUAGCAAGUUCCUAGGGAUAAGCUUACACUUUCCCCUUUAGUAUCUAUUCCAGUUCGACCAGCUCGACCAGCCAUCUGUUUGUACCUUGUCCCGUCAAUGAAAUCACGACCAAUUCUGGGUUGUCGAAAAAUGACCCUCCUAGCAGGCAGGUUAACCCCGGCAGCUAAGGUAGAUGUAGCAGUUAAGAUGCGCAAAAGACCUUUACGAUAGCAGGUCUCAAUAAUUUCUCUUUCCUCUACCUGUAAGAAAGAGAACAUUAUAAUCCUUUGAUGACACAUCUAAUAGAAAGGAAGUAUAUACUUAAAAACAACAACCAAGCCUCAAACUACUUGGGGUUGGCUGUAUAGAUCCUUUUGCACCAUUCCACACAAUUAAGUGUAUAAUUUUUUAAAAAAAAAGUACAUGAAUGAAUAUAUACAACACACAUUAUCCACCAAAUAAACCACAUCAUGAAAAAUAGAUAAUAAAAGUUGCAAGAAAUUAGAUUACCAGAACAUAAAUAAAAAAAGAGAGCCAGGAAAUCAUACCGUCAAGCCAGCAUGAUGAUAGGCAACCCCAGAAGGUAGAGUUUCUUCCAACGUUGAAUCCAAUCCUGCGGGACAUCUUCGCAGUGCAUCAAUGGCCGAAGUAAUAUCACCAAACUCGCUCUCAUUCUGAAUGUUAAUAGAAAACUUCUUCACAAAUUUUGAAACAUGCCUCGCAGUUGAUUCACAUCCUUUUCGACUAGAGCAGAAUAUUAACACUGAAUGUCCAUCUUGAACAACCUGAAAUACAUAACAGCCAUCCAAAAUUAUUCAGCUUUCUAAUAAUUAGAUACAGCUUGAUUCACAUUAGAAAAAGAAGGGUCCCUGCCUCAUUGCAUAGUUCCACAAUAUGAUCUGGAUCUUUACCACCCAGGUCAGCUGCUCUUGAAAGUGUUCUAACAAUAUCCAUUUUCUUGUCAUAAAUUGUGUUGCCAACUUUAAUGUAUUCUUCUAGUGGAACCGGUCGGAAAUUUGUCUGGUAUAGUGCGGCCUGCACAAAAGAUUGGUUGCAAAAACAAUUUGAUGAAACUAUCAAAUGCACAAUAAUAUUGAGAAAAACAUAUAAUACAGUCAGAGUGGCAGAGAAACAAGUUCUUGAAAAGGUAAGAGCAAACAAACAUCCUGUACAGUAUAGAAGUACAAUUAAAAGUUGUUGUACCUAGAUUAAUCUGGUCCUAUAUGUUUAUUAAAAGACUCUCACCUAUGGCUGACCAGUAAGUUGAAGAAACAAAAAUUAAAAAAACCUUAGUCGGACAAUCUUUUGUAAACCCACUUACUUGAAGCCAGUCAGCAACUGCUGCCACAUUGGGCAUGGUAGCACUCAUCCCAACAAUUUGCAGACCAUGAGCAGCAUCACCCUUACUGCUUGUACCUGAGCUUUCUCCGCUGCUGGAUUCUGUAUUGCCUUCACCAGCAGCAUAACGAAGCUUUGUCAGCAGAAGUUCCAAAAGGUAACCCCUGCUCUGAUCACCAACCUGUCCACGAAAAAAAAAAAAAAAAGACCACAAUACUUAAAUUAUACAGAUAAAUAAACCUAAUGAAUAAUUUAUGAAAGCUGUAUGAGUCAUACUUAAUCACAUGUCUAAGUAAAGGGAAAUCAUAGAAAACAUCCAGUUUAAGUUUUUCUCUACAUAAAUUUUUCUUCCUAUAUUGUUGAUCAAAUGUCAUUUCACUAGAAAGGAAAAAAAACAUCCAUAUCUAGAGAUUAUUGAAUGAACAAAAAUGCUUGUACCUGAAACAUACAAAGUUUUAGAGGAAGAUUUUGAACAGUGAUUAGGCUCCUCUAUGGGUGACAGGAUUUUUUCACAUUGCACACUCCCAUUAAAGCACCUCUUUACGCUCACAAGUGCCAGUGAAGAUUGAGGAAGAGGGAGGUACAGAGUUGUUAAGAGAGAAUGAAAAGAAGGGUCUGGAGGGUGAAACUUAAAGAGCAUAUUUGUAAUUUUACUCCAUAUUAAUGAAACUUCAAAAUGCCAUCAGCUAAGGACGCAAAGUGUUACCUCAUGCAUCAUGGGGGUUGUUUCGAUGUUCUCACUUAAAUAACAAACAGCCAUAUAGAUAUAUACAAGAAGAGAUAUGGUUUACAAUCAUGGGAACCUAUGAUUCGAAUUACCAUGUGUAGUUCAUCUAUCACCAUGAUUCCAACUUCUGAUAGACGACCCUCUUCCAGUAAUCUGUUUAUUAGGGAGUUUGCUUUCUCUAUUGUGCAGACAGCUACGGAAGUAUCUUUAGGAAGUGUUCCUCCACCCUGGUUGCCAUAAUAACUCCGGACAUGCAUACCAAGAGGUUCCAGAAGGCCCUCCAGAUGUUCUGCCUGGGAAAAUUAAGACACGGAUAAAAUAUACAUGGUAUACAGUAUAUCACAAACAGGUCAUGCACUAAGAAAAGAGUAAGAACAUUUCGUAAUUCCAGGACAAAAUUAUCAAGAGACCUUUUCUGCACAAAUUGAUACAUAGGGAAGUACAAGAAGCGCGAUCUUUCCAGUUGAUAUAACCCGCCGCAACAUCAAAAUUUCCGCAACAAAACUUUUACCAGCACUGUGGCAGGGAAACAUGUUUAAGGAAUGAAUACCGCAUCAUAAGACACAACCAAAACGGGAAAGGAGAAGGAAAACAUUGAUUAGAAUUUGUUCUCCUUCUAAACAACAAGGUUGCUGGCACAAAAUAGAAAUAAGUGAUAGAAAAUGUAUAAAUCUGUUACAGAAUAUAAUCUGAAAUCAAAUUAACAAAAAGUACCUUGUAGACGCGCAAUAUACAAGAUUUCGUCUCUGCAAAACACCAUCCACCUGAAGGCAAUCAACCUGGAAAACAGAACAGCCGAAUACAUCAGAGUCAGACAGACAUAUUGAAAUAUAUGAGCACCAACACAGAAAUCUCAAUAAAUAAAUAAAUACAAAAAGAGUUCUGCAACCCCACUGGAAGCAUAAUUGUGCUUGAACACUGGAGAAAAAUAUUCUAUAGAUGACCUCUGGCAAAUCAAAAGCCAAAAUUGAGAAAUUGUAUAUGAGAGUUUGAACAGUUCAUAUGUACACGCCCUGUGCAGAAAAGCAUUAAAACAAAAGGAAAAGAAAAGGGUAUAUAAUGAAGCCCAAACAACAUAUAGAUAAGAUUAGAAAAAUAAUAUGGAGAGAAUACAAACGGAAAGCACAACACUUGAAAAUCAAAAGUAAAUCAAGUUUUACACCAAGUUAUGCAAUAAAACCAAAACAAAAAGGAUUGGCAACAAGUAGAUAGGUUGGAACUCAGAUGAGCAAUCUUGAAAUAAAAUAAAUGUGCACUGGAAAAGGGAUUACAAAACAUGCUUUAAUACUCCAAAGCUAAGAAAGGUUUUUUUCUAUGAGAUAAAGACUGCAAGAAAGCAAUAUAAAGAUUCAGAGGGUAAAUUUGAACCUCGAUUAAAGAUGCUCCUCUUCACUCUUUGAGUAACAAAAAUAAUACAGGAAUGGCACUACUGCCUGAUAUAACAAAAAAAACACCCCAAACUUUGGCUCUAAUGAUCCAUCUCUGUCCAGGUUAAAAUUGGACUACAUAUCCGAACAUCAAGUUGGUAAGGAUGGAGUGUGACAAGCCAUUGAAUUAAACCAAUGAAGUAGCCGGUUACUUAUCUGAGUUUUACUAAAUGUGAUUGAGUCCAAUACAAACAAAUUCCACAAGAAAUACACUAGUGGCAACCCAAAACUACCCUAAACAUUUGUACAAGUUACACCAGUCUGUGGAAGUCUUCUUAUUUCAUGAUGGUGAAAACCAACCUCAUAAGAAUUAUAUCUGGGGCCAUUACAAGUGGACCCUAGUCUACAUCUGUGUCCCAAAAAUGAAAGAGAUAGGAGAGUCUCUCCAUAGUGGACCCAAACACCCAAAACUGUAACAUGAGGUGGGUAACUUAUGUACAGCAGGAGAGAUAACAAAAUAAACCUUGUCAUUUCCAUCCUGAUCACUUAGCAGGAAUAUAAAGGCAACCUCAAGUAUUGUGAUUCAAAAGUUUGAAGAUACCUGCCAAGGAUACAGUUUUGAAAUUCCUUUCCUCUUAUAUAUGCUGCAUACUUCUAGAGGAAGCCAGUUGCUAAGAUCUAACCGGUCCUUGAGCGGCCCAAAACUUGAAGGAGUUCCAGCUUCAACACACUCAUUAUUAUCAAUUACAUUCCUGGUGUCUUUAACUGGCAAAUGAUAUAUAAUGCUAUCGGCAUCUUGAUUUGGCAAAUCCACUUUCUUUGUGGUCUCUGUAUCCACAGUUGUUUUCUCCUCUUCUUUAUGCAUCUCUUCUCUUGGCUCAUCUUUGAGAUGAUAUGUUACAAUAUUCGCAUUUUGAAGCUUUUGAGAUUAAUAGAACCGUGCUCAGAUUUUUCACUGCUUCUGUCCACAUUUGAAUCAUCUUUAGCACAGGGUGGGGUGCUAACUUCCAAGUUCCUGUCCUCAAAUAGUGAGUCAAGUUGUUUGACAGGCAGUGGAGAUACUUUUUCCAUAUGCUUCCUUAUAAACUCCAAUGAACAACCUCUGCUGCCGGCUUCGUUUAACAAUUCCCGUGAUAGGUUGCCAGACUUCCCAUUAAUGAUAUUUCCAACUGCCUGGACAAAAGGAUUGUCAGCUUCAGAAAAUAAACUAUCAGCAACUUGAAUUGCUUCAUUCCAAAAUGCAUCUCCUGGUGAAAAGAUAGAGCUUCCACGUGUAGAUUUGGGACCAUCACUACCGCGUCCUCUACAAAUUGAUGAUCCUGGUGUACAGCAUUCAGCCAUAUUUACCGUUGAGUUAGCCAUUUUGUUGCAUUUUCUCAAGCUUGUUUGAAGCUGAACAGGAUCGUUACCAACAGCUACCUGCCAUGAAAGUGCAGGAGUAGGAGGAAAAGAAUGGUCAUAAACCAGAGACCUCACAUAUAACAGUGAUAAGACUGUUUCAUAAUACACCAAUUUUACCUCUCCAAAAGAAUUGAAAACAGAUGCUCCAUUUUUAACAACAAAAGCAGAUUGCUUGUCUUCUGGCUUCUUCUCGAUUGGACAAGGGGUUUCAACUUCAGAAUUUAACUGAUUGGACAUGCAUAACCUCUUUUUGGAUGUUUUAUAAUCAACAUCCACUAGCAAUGGACCACCAUUUCGCUUAUGGUCAUUCAACUUUGUCUUUGAAGGUGAAGUUGCAGUUGAUUGAAGUUCACUGCAAUAAAAUGAUUAGCAAUGACAUUUGCAUAGUGAAAACAGACACAAACACACUACAUAACAUAAUUUCAAUGGACAUACAGAAGUUUAAACUACAUUACCCACAAUACAGAGACAAAAAAUCAGUAGCAAACUGUUUUAGUUCCGAAUUCUCCACCCCAUUCCCCACAUCCAAGCAACCCUUCACAACCCUUUCAACCGCAAUAUUCCCCACAUUUCCUGCAUUGGACGAACCUUGAGACAUUUCCUUCUGAACCACUUUGCCGCCUUCACAACUUCCCACGCACAAUCGACCAGACACAAGAGAUUCCUCCUCUUCUUCAUUUGAAACUUCAUCAAUCUCCAAUGUCAAGCUUCUUUUAACCAAGAAACCACCCCCACGGUUAUCAUCCUUCGAGUUCACCAAGUAAUUAUCCAAAGUUCCUUUGGCACUGGGGGACCCUUCAACUACUUUGCUUCUUGCAUCUUUUUCGAUCCUUCCCGACUUCAAAUUCGGCGACGAAGAUUUCCUCUUCCUCGACGCAAAAAACUGUAAAUUAAAUCACAGACACAAGCAAAGCACGUGUUGGAAUAAUUAAAUCCGCACUAAAAUAUAGUAAAUUAGUUCAAAUCUUCUAUGAUCUGAAUUCAAAUUUGACUAAUUUCGAACAAGCACAGUUUUCAAAAGUCAGAUUCAGAUUUUCUUUAUCUUUGAAGAAAGAUCGAUUUUUUUACCGUUGGGAAGUUUCUAGGGUUUAGGGGGCCCACCUGAUCGAUGCGAGUCCGAGGAGAAUCAGACGCCAUGGGAGAAGGAGAUGGGAGAUUUCGACGGUGAUCUGCAAAACCCUGGGAUUUUAUUCACGCGGUGGUGUUUUCUUGGAAGGGAGCUACUACGACGUCGUGAAAGAUUUGAAACUUCAAACUGGUGAGGGCAAGAGCGCCAAGUACUCGCUGGAUCCGAGCACUGUGGGUCUUUAUUCACGUGGGCUCCGUCUAGACUCUACAGGGCGAGAGUGGCAUGGUAGUAAAUUAUGGGAAACUUGAUGGGAGGUGGCUCCUAGCGUCAUUUGAUUUUAUUAAAUUUUGGGCAUAUUUGAUAUUUCAGCGUGUCUAUGCUUUUUAAAAGAUUUGAAGAAAAAAAAAGUAUAUUUUAAAUUGGUUCUUUUAUGUUUAAAUUAUUAUAUUAUAAUGAUAUAUCAAAAAUAAAUUUCAAAAAUAAUAUUAUUUUAAUAUAUUUUUAAAUAAAAAAUAUAUUAAAAAACAAUCAUCACUACUACAACAAUAAACACUACUUAUAUCUCUAUAAAUCUAUACUCAUUUUCUGGUACGGGGUAUUUAUGAAUUUUAUUAGAAUAAAGCUAAGCCUUGUUAAGUUCAAGCAAAUGAAGGUCUCGUUUAUUUGGUAGAAAUUAUUUUUUAAAAACCACUUUACAAACUUUCAUAUUUUUAUUUGUCAUUAGAAAAAUUGGUCAAUAAAAAAUAUUUUUCAGUCAAAAAAAUUAAUUUUUUUUCUAGAAAAGUGUUUUUCUUUUUUUUUGGGAGGAACAUACUUUCUAAAAAUUAUAAAAUUUUUAAAAAUAUCAUAUUAUUUGUUGAUUAUAACAAAAUAUCAUUAGAAAAAUUGUUGAUUAUUAACUUUGGUUCUCAUUUUUAUUAUUGUUAUUUAUUUUUCUCUUAUUAUUUUUUUAAUUAAAAAUUUUUAUCUAUCAAAUUUGGUCCUCAUUCUUUUAAUUUUUACUUAUUUUAUUUGAAAUAAUUUAUAAAAUUAUUAUUAUUAUUAUUUUAAUUUCAUCAUCUUUUAAUUUAUUUUUUAUCUGUUGGAUUUAAUCUCCAUUAUUUUGAUUGUUAUUUAUUUUAUUUGAGGUAAUUUAUGAAAUUAGAUUUUUUUUCAAUUUCAUUCACAUUCAACUGUUUUUAAUUUGUAAGAUUUGUUCCUCUUUGUUUUAAUAAAUUUAAAAUAUAUAUAUUAAUAAGUUAUUUUCCAGCUUAUUUUUCAUAGCAUAACCAAACACUAAAAACAAUAUUGGUAAUUACAAGUAUUUAGAUCUUUUUAUAAUAUCUAGUAGUCAUUAUUAAAUUGAUUAAAGAUAAAUAAAUAUUUUUAUAUUUUAAAUACACGGUAAAAUAACCAAAAUAUCAUUGGAAGUAUAAAUAAAUAAAUUAACAUCAAAGGGCAAUUUUGUAUUUUCAUAAUGAUUUUUUUGUUGUUACCUAUUAAGUAGAGGGACAAUUUAGUAUGUGUAUAUAUUUAUAUAUAUGACCAAAAUGUCCUUAAAAGCAAAAAAAAUUAAAAGUAGUAGUAUGGAGAGCUUUUUUUUGUUAUUGUCAAAUUAGUUUAAAGGCAAUUUAAUAAUUAACCAAAUAUAUAUAAAAAAAAAAAGUUGGGACACGUGUGGUACACUCUCCAAUGUGUGGGAGGAGUCAACGCCCUUUCAAGAAGCAUGUAUGGCGCCUCUCGACAUCAAAAAAAUAUCCUUCCAUUGUGUCAAUGAAAGCGUCAGCACAUCAUUUUCGUGGUGGUGUAGUGCAUGUUGACGAUGGUGGUUAGGUUUGUCGCCAGUGGGCCUUUCUUUUCUUUUCUUUUCAUUCUUCACUCUAAAAAUUACAACUUGCCCCUCUUUGUUAUUGAUAUUUGAACUUCUAUCCUUUUUUUUCUAAUUUUUGCCUUGGCUUAUUUGAAGAAGUAUUAUUUAUUUUUAAUUUCAUCACUCAAUCUUGAUUUUCUAUAAAUUAUUUUUUCCAAUUUGAUCCUCAUUCUUUUGAUUAGUUUUUUGGUCUUUUUUUUAAUUGAUUUUUCUUUCAACUUCACCUUUUAAUCAUAAAUAUGUUGUUAUUUUAUAUUUCAAUUUUAAUAUUUAUUCUUUUAAUUUUUAUUUUUGUUUUGGAUCAUUUUGUGUAAUUGAUAUUCUUAUUCCAUCCAAGUUAAGCCUUCAACAUUUAAUUGGUAGGGAAUUGGACUUCGUGGUUUUUACAAAUAUGGUGUUUUUAGUCCCAUAGGCCACGAGUUUGAAAACUUAACGCGAGUGGACAUUAUUUUUUAUUUUUAGUUUUUUAACUUAAUUUCUUUUUAGUUUUGUUAUUUUUUAUGAUUUUUUUUCUACUAAGUUAUCUCGGUCUCAUGACCUAGGCUGCAAGUUUGGCGGGUUAAUCUAGGUUGGCUUACCUCUUAUUCCCGACAAAGCUAUAAGUUUAUCAUGUUAAUUCGAAUGUGUCGCAAGGUGCAUGUGCCGACACGACGUCGUCUGGUGAUGGCGGGGGCUCUUAUGGUGCCUCAUGUGUGAGGUGUUGUAUCUUGGGAAGGGUUUUUGGAUUUAAUCAUAAAAUUAUGAUUAAUGUUUAGGAGUCGCCACUUAAUAUUAUGGUCACUAGGAACUUAUGGUGUGCGAGAGUUUGGGUAAGGGACUGGUUGUGUAAGGAGAACACGCAUCACCCUAAGUGCACUCUACCUAAGGUAAGCUAUAUUGUUGUUUGAUUGUUUUUUUCUAAGUCAGGUUUUUAUUUGUUGGUAUUUUCUAAGGUUCAUGUUGCGAUGUCGCGGUCGCACAAAUUAAUUACCCUAGCUUCAAACACAACACACAAGAUAGUAUAGAGCAAGCAAGGGGGUCGAUCCCACGAGGAAGAUUUAGUUCAGAUUUUUUAUGCUAUACGUUAUGCAAUUUGGGGGGGUUGGAUGUUAUAUAGGCUAAAGAAAAAUAAAACAGAAAACUAUCAAACAAAAUUUAAUAAAAUCAGAAAAUUAUCAAGAGAACAAACCUUGGUCGCAAUCACACAUCCACCUAUAGAAAUCAGAACCGAUCCUUGAAACGAAAUUCCAGUUUAUAUUCUGAAUUUUUAUCUUUUCUUAACGUUGGUUAAUUAACGGAUCCGCCGUAUAACUAACCCUAACCAACAAAUAAUCACAGUGUCCGCACUAAUGAUUUAAUCCAAUGGCAGCCUUAAGAUCUAGAUAAAUUCAUUAAUCUUAACAACUAAGUUGUCUGCUUAUAUUGCUUUGAUCGAAUGUUCUCCCUAAGAUUAAUAACAUAGAUCCGCUACAAUUAUUAAACUCAGUUGCUUCACAAGUUCAUAUACCACAACUCCGGUUUUGAUAUCAAACUUAGCAAUAAAUUGUCUACAAUAAUAACUUAGAGUCCGCUCUAGCAAUUAAAAUAAACAAUCAUAGGAAAAAUAAGCAUAGGAGAACAAACAUAUUCAUCAUAUAAACUGAAAAGAAAAGGUAAAAUAGAUCUCACAGUUCUUGAAAUCCGAAGGUUUCCGUGUCCUUGCAACCAAGAAAAUGAGUUUAGCCUUGCAUGUUUGUUGAACAACUAAUCAAAAAGAUGGAAGAAUGCAUGAUUUAGGGUUUCUUAGAGUAGGGGGGCGUUUUUCUCCUCUUGGGUGGCUGCCCCCCUUCUCUUCUCUCAUUCUUUUUAUAUGCUAGGAAACCCUAAUCUCUAUUUUACAAAAUAGUCCUCCCUUAAGUAGACAAUUUACAUUUAAGUAGUUCAAUAACUAUUUUCCUAAAAAAGGAGAAAUAGCUUUGCAUGAAAUCUUCAAGCUUUGACUUAGAGGAGCUACAUUGCUGAAAUAAAAACUUGGAUGUCGGUUUAGAUGCUUCGAAACGUAAUCUGGACUCGUUUCUUCACGAAACUUGUUUUUUGGCAGAAUUCAGUUGUCAUCUUUGAAAAAUCAUAUCUCCCUCAUAUGACAUCGGUUUUGGCUGAAAUUUGGAGCGUUUAUAGACCUUUGAGUCAGGAAUCCAAAAUAAUUGAGUUUGCAUCAAUUGGACUUUUGUAGCUCUAGAUAUUCAAGUCGGAAUGACCGAAGGUCAGCAUUGGCAGAUUGCGAGAUUUGACUUUGAAAGCUGCGAUUUCCAUGCUCUUCCUUAUUUUAUUGUCUUGCCUUAGAUUUCCAGAAAGGUAUGGAUGUUAGCUUUUUAAUGCCACUGGAAUCACUUCAUUUCGACCUUUAGAACUCACGUUCUGCACAAAACAUGGACUGAACGUCAAAUCUGCCAAUUACCUUCAAUUUACUCCUUUUUGCAUCUUUCAUCCAAAAGUGCCUUCAAAACAUAAAACAAAUAAUAUCAAGGCAUUUUAUAUAUAAAAAAUAGGCAAAACACUAGUUAAAUGUGGGUGAAACUAUCGAAUAAUAUGGUUGCAUCAGUUCAAUACAAAUCUUUCUUCAUGAGAAAUUUACUACCUUAUUUGAUUAAAUCCUAACAGUUCUAAAGUCUGAAUUUUAGUAUCGCAUUUAUUUAUACUUUAUAUUUUUAAUACCUAAGAGUGUAUUUUAUCGUGUAAUUUUAUACCCCAUAAAUAUUAAAGUCUAUAUCUGGAUCUUAAAAAAAAAUUGGAAAAAGGUUUUUGAUAUGUUAGCAAAACCCUAAUGGAUGAUCAUAAAACUAGUUAUGAUAUCCAUUUUUUGGAUUUUCAAAACAUGAGAAAGAUGCAAUCUUUUAAUGAAAAUAUACUUGGAAAAUUUUUAGGAUUUGGCUAUAUGCAUGAAAACAAAAUAUGUUUUUGAAAAGGGAAAUUGAUUUAAAAGUUUUUGAGAUAUUUUUUAAAAAUAUUUUGAAUUUUUUUAAAAAAUAUAUUUUGAAGAAAACCCAGUAUUUUAAUACCAGAUUUGUAUUUUAUAGUGUAAAUAUAUAACCCGAUAUUAUGCAAAAUUGGUAGAAAAAUAUUUGAGAAAAUCACAAUUUUUUUAAAUGAUUUUUGCAUUUUUUGGAUUUUUUUUGUUUUUAAAUAUUAUAAUACACAUGCGCGCGCGCGCACAUACACAUGGGUUAGGCUGGACUCAGCCUAAGAAAGGUUGGGUGGGCCGAGAUUGGACCAAACUGGUCGGGCCGCUCUUGGCCCAGCAAAACUUUUUAUUCCCCUUUUUGGGCUAGGCUGGGCUAGAACGGGUCCGGCCCAUUCCAAAUGUUAUUUAUUUUGCAGAGUGUGAACUUAUUGUUCACGUUCUGCAUGCAACUACAUAGUUGCAGACGAUGCCGAGAAAAGUGGAAGGCAACCUGGCGGAAAAGAAGGAGUCGCUGUCUAAGUGUUGACAAGAGAUUGGUGAUGGCAUUGAUGGAGAGCUUGGCCGCCGAAGUUACUACUAUGCAGGAAGAAGAAGUGUGCAUAGGAGAGAGAAAAGUGGUGCAACCACCACGUGAGAUGGUUUGAUGGCUACUUGAGGUGGAGAUGAUGGUGAGAAGACAAGUGAUGGUGACUAAAGGCCACGGCACAGAGAGAACUAGUUGCAGGAAAACUGAGUGUGGAAGGAUGCUUUUUGACCAACUUUGCGUCCGAUUUUCUCCUCCAUCAAGCCAUGAAAUCCACCUUUAUUUAUAGGCGGUGGAAGAAGACAAUCUUGUCUACACUAGUAAAAAUUUCAACCCUUGAUUCAGUUGAGAAGGAUCUUAACUGUUGGUUUAAAGUAGGCACUGUCAAAUCUGCAACUGUAGGUUACCCGAGUUGGCCUCUUUGGGGUGGUGCCACAUCCGUUUCUUUGCCAGUGAACCAGUGACGACCAUACCCAGACGUAGAAGGAUAUCUUGUGAUUUAUUCUGUGCAAGUUUUUUCAAAUUUAGUCGACAUUAGGUACAUUAAAUGCAACUGCAAAGUAGGUAUUCAGAUCAACUUUUCAAGAAAAAAAUGAAGAAGAUAAUGAAUAUUACUGAAUGACACGUUGUCUAUCCUUUUUUUUUUUAUGAAACGGCAUCAUUUUAGGUUUGAAUUAGGGAUAUUUUCAAUCUUUAAUUUAGUCCUCCAGCUUUCAAUAGAACCCUUAUUUGACCCUAAACUUUUGAUUUAAUGCAAUUAAGCCCCUGACGAAUUACUAUUUAAGCCCUGGAUUUACACGCCUUUUACAAUAUGGUCCUUGGUCUCGGAUUUAUUCAAUUGAACCCCUAACUGACCAUGAAACUUUUAAUUUCUUCAAUUCCCCCCCAUUUGUGUCAAUUGAACCCCUAUAAUUUGGAGUUUUUUGCAGAUUGAUCCUUGGCUGCAAAUUUUAUCAAUUUAACCUGUAAUUGACCCAAAAACUUCAAUUUUCUUACAAUUUUACCCCUGAUUUCAAUCAAUUAACUUGGAAAAAAAAUUAAAUUUGGUCUUUUAAAAUUCUAAUCUUCUCAAUUAAGCCAAAAUUAGGCUCCCAAACUUAAGUUUUCACCGAUUAAUCCCAAAAUAAAAUUACUUUGACACAUUUAAAGUAUAAUUAAGUCCUUGCACUUAAUUAAAUUCUUUAAUUGGACCUAAAUUAAUUUUUAAAUAUAAUUAAAAAUUAAUUUAGCCCAUGAUUAAAUCAAAUUGGCCCACUAAAAAUUUAAUUAUGUCAUUGGAUUUGCGUUUAACCUUGAAUUUGAGUUUUCUCUCUUUUUUGGGGCAUAAUGGGGUACAAUUAGGCCUUAAAAUUUCCUCCAAAUUUGUUGUUUAAUUCCCGAGCCUGUUUUCUCCACGUUGCCAGCCUUUAUUUUAUUAUUUUAUUUUUAUUUUGAAAAAAAAUGUGAUUUUUAGGGAAUAAUCCAGAAUUGGGUUAUGACAGGAUGGAUUCGAGCCUUUUUUUUGUUCUAUUUUUAUCUAAUCUCGCUCUUUUAUAUUUACUGGUCUAAGAAUUAAGUUAUGUUGUUUGUUCUCUUUUACAUAAAUAUUUUCACAAGUUAUUGUUAUCUUUUUUUUUUUUAAUUCGGUCCAUUUACUAUCAUUACUUUUUUGUUAUGAUCUAAUUAAAAUAAAACCAACUUAUUUGACAUGGUCUAGUCUAUAACUCGAGUAGUAGAUUUUUUCCCCCCUUCUUUAAAGCUCAUUUGCACUACCUAAACAUCACUUUUAAUAUAAACAAAGCCUUACGAUGUAGUAUGGGUACACAACUAGUAAAACCUAAAACAUAAUGACAUUACAACAAAAGCAUAGGGACACAAUCCUUUAAGAAGGAGGUUCAAUGGUACAAAAGCAGCAAUAAUGAUUGUUAAUUUAUAUAUUUUAUGUUUAGCAAGCAAAGAAAGUUUUGCUAGUUGCAAAUAAAAUUAUGCAAGUAUCUAGGUUUUCAUAGAAGACAUUUUUGAUAUUAUAGUAGUUGUCCCUAGCCAAUAAGAAAAAGUGAAUGAAUCUACUAUAAUAAAGUUAUCUAGACCUCAAAAGGCAUGCCUUAAAUGUUUUUAACCCUCAUGCACUGAAAACAAAACCAACUGCAAUUAAGAUUGACAUUUAAGUAAAAGGCAAUGAGAUAAAAGGAAGUUUCAUCAUCAAUAUGCAUUAGGAAAGAAAUAAGAAAAAAAAAUGGAUUAUAUUUAUGGGUUGCCCCGAUGAAGGUGAGGAUUGAUGUUUAUAAAGCAAGUAUUUUAUGAGCUUGGAACUAAAAAUAGGGCAGAAAUUGACUCCAAAAAACAAAAGCAAAACCAAACUUUAUAUAGAGUUUCCAUAAACUUGUGAGAAAUGCCAAAACAUUAGCUUUGGUGUUUAUAUAAAUAGAGUUCUUAAAAAGCCUGGUUUCUUUGAGCACAUUUCAUAGAUUAAGCUUCUUUAAACAUACAUUUAAAAAUAUAACAAAGAUUUGGUCAUUUAGUAAGAGUAUUGUGUCGUCACUUGAUAAUAUAUGAUAGUUCUUAAACAUUAUGGUAUAAUAACUUUAGCAUAGGUUGCAUGGGACCAUUGAUAGAAAUUUUUUGUUUUGUUUUGUCUAGGACCAUCAACAAAAAUCAUGUGAGCAAGAUUGAUGUAAACAUGUUUUGUGUCAGUGGGAAUAAGAGUUACAAUGAGUCUUAUCGUGAAGACAUUUUUAUUAUAUUACGCAUGUAAUAUUGUAAGUUGUUUGUGUUAGCUAUCUAUAUAGGUGUUGUUACCCAUUUUUGGAUUCCCAUAAAAAAAUUGAGAAAAUAAAAAAUAUAUAUUAGGAAGAAAUCCAAAAAAAUAAUAGAAGCAGGAAAAGGAUGCUAGAAUGCCAAAGAAAAGUCAAAAUUGGUUUAGGAGGUUCAAAAAUAAAAAAGGUUAAAAUUUGACAGUAUAUAUUUUACUGAUAAGAGCCUUGAAGACAAGAAAAAUUCAUUUUUUUAAAGAAAAGAAAGAAAAGUUCAAAAUCAGAUGUUUAUAGACUCAAUUAAAUUUUAUCCAAGGUUUAAUUGAAUUUAUAGAGGGUUUGAUUGCAAGAAAAAUUGAUUUUUAAGUCAAUUUAAGCUUUUAUUGGAAGAAAUUAAAGUUCUGGGGUCCAAUUAUAAUUUUGAAAGAGUUGAUUUGGCCAAAUUAGGGGUUUAAUUGCAUAAUUAUUAAAGUUUGAUGGUCAAUUAGGGACUUAAUUGAAACAAUCUAAGACCAAGGACCAAACUAGAAAAGACGCUAACAUUAGGGGAUCCGGUUAGAAUUUUGGCGGGGAUUUAAUUACAAAACUGCAAGAAAUUAAAUGGCUGAAUCAAAAGAAACCAAGCGACGCCGUUUCCACCAUGUCAUCGUUUGCAACAGCUGGUGCUCUGUUAUAAUUAAAGAAGGAGACGUUGGCAGCGAUAAUGGAGCCGUUUCCAAAUCCAGAAGGGAGCGUAUCGCGGUUGACAAACCUCACCACCGUGAUGUACGCUGGCCUACCAAAAACACUCUCAUCCUCUGGCUAUAAUAGCCAGAGGAAGAACCAAACGCAGGGGACGGGAGGAGAGAGGGAGAUCAGACAGACAAGAGAGUUUAUAUUAAAGAGAAAGUACGAGGGAAACAGAGAGGAGAACGUAAGAAAUAGGAGAGAGAGCGGAGAAAUAUUGAGAAAACAAAAGGGAGAGCAGACGAAUCGAACCGAACGGAAAAGGAGGACACAGUAAGGCAGACGACACAGCACCACCUUCAUCUUCGUUUUGCUCAAAACUAGGUACGUUAGAUGGCUUUCUCAGUUCCUGUAUAACGAGAUGAUGCAUGUUUAAUAUGUAAAAGAAGAAAAGAAAACGUGACGAAAUCAACGCUGCAAUCUCUGUUUUUUCUUCUUCUUUUUAUUUUGCUACUGUAAGUAGGAUGAUGAACAGUGUGAAGGUAAAUUAAUUACCUUCACACUGUUCAUGCACGCGUAAAUAAAUAUUAUGCGUGCAUGAGGGAGAUGGGCCGGUCACUGGUUGGGUUGGCCAGGCCCAGCCCAGCUGCGAAAGUUGGAUGGGUCCAGCCCCACCACAUGGGCCGGGCUGGGCCCAGUCCCAAAAAAUAAAAAAUAAAAUAAUAAAAAAAAUGUUUCAAAAAAAUCUGUGAUAUUUUCUUGUUUUCUACUGUAUUUUAAUCAACAUCAAUUUGUCUUUUUAUACUGUAAAGAUACAAGUUUGGUGUUAAAAUACCCGUUUUUCGACAAUUUUUUUUUAUGCAUACGGCCAAGUCUCUCAAAAAAAUAAAUCAUAUUGUAUUUUCAUAUAUAUAUAUAUAUACACACACACAUAAAAAAAAAAUUCAAAAAUAUGUAUUAGCAUGCAUUUUGGCUUUAAUAACCAGUUUAUUAAAGUCACGAGAACUAGACCAAUAUUUCAAAAUUUUCAAAAAAAUUAUUUUGUUUUCUUUUAAUAUCUGGGUUUACGACCUUAUACGUAAGACGUAUUCCAGUUAUUAAAAUUGUUUUGUUGACGCUAGAAUUACUCGAUAAGAUAAGGAUCUCCUUAUCGAUGAGAACUUUUCUUAAACUAUAGAUGAACCAACAAUUAGAAAACACGACCAGACCUUAGAUUUUAUCAGAUAAUUAAAUAAUGCAGCCUACCUUAGGUAAAACGUAUUUGGGGUGGUAAAACCUUCUCUUUACGUAACUAGUCUCAAUCUCUGAGACCAGUUAGGGUUCCUAGUGACCAAAAUACUAGGUGGCAACCCCCACUCCAAUUUUUUCACUAAUAAAAGACAAGAAUUCCUUGUCUCCCCACAUUUUCCGUAUGAGAUAGAUUUGAAGGGUGAAUGUUCUCACCACGACACCGCACACGUGCGACAAUAGGUAAAAUAUUCAUUGAGUUUAUGGUUAAAAAAAAAUUAGUAUGCAAAAAGUAACAACAGAAGCAAACUCUAAAUAGAGCUUCCAUGAGCCUAUGAUAAAUGCUAAAUAUUUUAUCUAGUGUUAAUAUAAAUAGAGUUCUCAUAAUCCUAUUUUUUUAGUACAUUUCAUAAGUCAUGCAUACUGAAAUAGAAUUUCAAAUGUGUAAAAUAUAAUUGAUUGUAAUGUCAAAGAUCAAGGUGGGAGUUUUAAUAGACCACAAAGAUGGACUUGUUAAGGGGUAAGAAAGAGCUAGCUAUUUGGAUGAAAGCUAUAAAAUUUAAAUAAGAUGAGCUUGGGCUUCAAUCACUACCAACCUAUAUAGGAGUUUCCCCUCUUCACGAUGGUGUCAGCCUUGAUUGAUGUUUGUACCCCACCUGUCACAUGGAAAUCCUUCACUUCUUCUCUUAGCUUUAACUGAUUCAAAAAUUUCAAUAGUUUUUUGUCUAACUUUGAAUUAAUGGAAAAGGAGCUACAAGUCUCUAAAUGGAAUGUAGUUUGCUCUAGUUGAAGAAAAACAUAUUUUCUACAAUGUCCAUGGUUUAUUUUGUUCCAAUAACCUUUUAUUUGCCAAAAUUAAAUCGAAGAAAAGAAACCCCUAGUCAACCAUUUUUGGACUAGUUUUAACUUUUUUCCCCCAACUCUUUCAAGAAACUCUCAAAGUUUGCGAGGGACCUAGAGACAAGGAAAACUGACAGAAAAAAGAGAGAGAAAAAAAGAAUCUCUAACAAAAUAAAGAAGUGAAUCCUCUGCAUGUUAGUUUAGAACACCACUAAGGGGAAGGUGGUUUUAUAACCUUUUGCCCUUGAAAGGCUAUAAAAAGGAAAAGAAAAGAAUGAGAGGGGGUCAGAUGCAAGAAAAAAAAACACAUAAAAUAAAAGAAAAAUGAGAUAACAAUCUUUAGGCUGUUGGAAUAGAAAGGGAGAAAAGAGGUGCCAAAGAAAAAAGGAAGAUAUUCUUGAUCAUUUAGAGCUCGAAUAGAGGUUAUGAAUCCAAUUAGUAAUCAACAAGGAAUCAAAAGAAAACCCAUUGCUCCCAUUUGUUUAGCUAAGUCUUCAACUCUUAAUGAGUGGGGUAGAGCCCAAUGAGCACUCUUCUCCUCCCCUUUUGAUCCAUGUUAUAGUUGUUAUUUGAUAGUUUAGUAUUUUGUUCUAGAUGCUUUUAAAAUGUGAUUUGAUCUUUGUUAUUUUUAAUGUGUUAUUUUUAGUCAUUUUUAUGGUCUUUAUAUCUAUCUUUCUUGUUGUUUAGGUCUAUUUUCUGGGCAAUAACUACCAUAAGUUUAUGUAUUUUUAGUCUAGGAUGUGUUUUGGAUUAAUGCUUUUAACUUGUUUGAUUUCUAGAUGCUUUUGUUAAAGGGGGUUUAUACACUGUUAUAUUGUUUUUGUUUUCCUGUUUUUCUAGUCUAUUUAAAGCAUGUUCUUGCCUUUUGAGUUUUGGUUGAGUCAUGUGUGAUGAUAAAGUAUUUGGUUUGGAUCCAAAUUGCAUAAAAUCGUAGGUUGCUUUAGGUUUACAUAUUUUAAACUUAGAUUUUUUUUAUGCAUAAUUAUGAUGAUUUGUUGUUUUUAUUAGUUCUUUUUAAUUUAGAUAUGUUUGGUUUUGAUAAUGUAUCUUGCUAGACCAAGAAGCAUGUUUUGAAGGUCAACAAUGGCAGUGUUUUGUACGUAGUUCUGGGUUUAAAUUCAUCCUAUGAAUAUUGUCAUAUGUACUAGUUUUAGAGCUCGUUUUGAUUCAAUUAUGUUUCUGCAAGUUCAUAUAUCUUUAUUAGUAAUUAAUCUAGGACAUUCAAGCAUCAAUAUCAUGUUUUUGUGGGUUUAAUCUUAGGAUUUUAAUUUUUGAAUCAAAACUCAUUCUUGACAAAUUUGUGUGGCUUUUGAGUGAUGAUUGAGGCAAACUGACACUUAAUUCUUGACAUUGCGUAUAAAAGCAUGCUUUUUUAUUGCUUAAUACUUAGUCUCCUUCGUGUUUUGUGUUUCUAGGUUCAUGAAGAACAAUCAUCGUGUUCUUUAUUUGAUUAUGUGUUUGAUCUAUUUUUCUAUGAAAUUUCUAUUUUUUUUUGUGUUUUUUAACUUUGAUUUGUUUCGGUUUAAACCUUUGCUUUCGGUUAGUUUUUUGGUCAAAUCUCAUUUUUUUUUCUCGGUUCAUAGUUGAACCAGCACUUUGGGUUGACCUGAACAAGUUGAUUUUUGGUCAAUUUGUAAGGCUUUGUUUGGUUAAAUUUUCUUUUUGUUAAGGUUUUUUUGGGUCAAAGGGGUUAUUUGGCCAACACACCUUAUACCUACUUUGACAAUUUUAUGUUUUUGAAUAAAAUGGUUUCGCCAAAUAUACCCCUAAAUAAUUUCAAACAAAUAUGAAAAAAUUCAAGGACCUCUUUUAAAUUUAAAUUCAAGGAUAGUAAACUUAUAUUAUAAACUAUUGACCCAAUAUUAAAAUACUUUUCUUUUGUUAAAAUCUCCUAAAAAAUCAAAAUUCCUUAUAAAAAAUACCAAAAAAUGUGUUAUUUAUUUAUUUAUUUAUGUGUAUAUACCAAAAAGUCUCUCAAAAAAAUAGAUUAUAUAUGCAUAUUUUCUUAUAUAAAAACUCAUAAAAAAAUAGUUUUUCUUACUUUGAAUACAUCUUUAUUUAGGUUUAAUAACUAGUUUAUUAAAUACAUGAGAAUUUAGCCCAUAUUUCAAAAACACCAAAAAAUUAUUUUUGUUUCGUUCAAUAUUAGGGAUUGCAAACUUAUACGUAAGAUGUAUUUUUUAUUUUAAAUAAAGAAGUUUUUUAUUAUUUAUUUUAUAGGUUCUAAAUCUUUUUACCAAAAAUUUAUUUUGUUUAAUAUAUUAAAUUGUGAACUUGUACGUAAGAUAUAUUUCUGGUAUUAAAUAAAAAGACAGUUUCUUUUAUUUAUAUGGCUCUGUUCAUCCUAAACUUUUAACCAGAUUUUAUUUAAUAUAUUUUAAGGUUCCUCAUAAAAUUUCAGCUCAAUGUGAUGGCCGGAAUUAAAAUUACGCCUAAUAAUAUAAGACUAGUCAAAUUGUGAUUUUUCGUCACCUUUUCCGAAUUUCUCUAAAAAUUCUGAAAUUUUAACCCAAGCUAAGGCAUCAUAUUAGAAGGCUCCACAUAAAUUUUUAGAAUUUUAUGAUAACCCGAUCAAGAGUUAUGAAUUUUUUUCUUUUUGUUUUACAAGAAACUAGUCAAUUUAUAAUUUUUCGCCUAGAGGUUUUACAAAAAUGAACUGAAAAAUAAUUUAUUAUUGAAUUAAUAUUUUUUAAAAUUUUAUCUAAUAUAUAUAUAAAAUAUUUAAUAUAAAUAUUUAAUCACUUACAAUAAAAUAAUGAAAUCUAAAAAGUAUAAUGAUGAAUUUUGUUUUAUUAUUAUAUGCUAUAUUCAUACAUAGCUUAUUUUAUAAAAUAUAACUAUAUAUGUCAUAUCAUAUUAUAUAGAAAUAAACAUGUGAAAUAUUUUUUAAGUAAAACAUAUUAAUAUAUUUUUUUCAAUUUUAAAAGCUUAAAAUAAGUUUUUUUUUCAUAUGAAGAAAGCCAAAUUAGUUUAUGGUAAGAGUUAUAUAUUUGGGUUUUUUUUUUGGUAUGAAGUAAUUUUUAAAAGAUAAAUAGAUACAAAAAUAUUUUGAUGGGUUUUUUGGAUAAAUAUUUUUUUUUUACGGGUAAAGGCAAUUAUCCCUUUAAUAUAUAUCAAAUAAUCAUCAAGAAAUAAAUAUAAAUACCUAACAUCAAACAUAAUCAUGCAUAAAUAUUACGUUUCGAUGUCAUAUACAUACAUAUUAGUGCAAAUUACAAACAUAAACAUGCUAGACUGAAUUAAACAAGUUAACAUACUUGUAAUAUAACAAACAUAGUCUGAACCCAAAUUUUGAACAUAUUCAAACCAUCUUAGCAAGCAGACAUGUAGUAGUGUUGUGUCACAAAGUUCUGAACCCAAAUUUUCCUCAAAUUAGCAUUUUUUGCCAACAUUUCAUUUUGAACCAAAUGAUCAAAUGCAUCCCCAAGAGUUAUCUCAUCAAAGCCUUCAACUUUCAUCACUUCCGCAUACAACGCAUUAACAUCAAGUUGAUUUUUGCUGAGACUUUGAAUUGCAAAUGAUACAUCUCUAAUCUGUUUAGACAACUUUUCAACACCAUCAUCUUCAUACAUGCGAUUUCUCUUUCUAUGUUGCCUCUUUUGUGUACUAGAGGAAGAUGUCUCUUUUCCCUUUGAAGUUUCUUCAUAUUCCCCUUCGUUUUCAAUUGAAUUUGAUUGCUCUUCAGUGUUCUCUUCCAAGUUGACAUCAGCAUAUGAUUUGGCAUAAUUUCUGGUUGUCAUGUCUUUUCCAACAACAAUUGUCAUUGCUCGUACAUAUCAAGUUUUUUUUGAGAUACUUGUCAUGAUUGGGAUGUGCAUGUUCAUAAAGUAUAGAAUAUGCAAUUUUUUAGUUCAUUGUAUAACAUUUUAGAAACAAAAGUAAAUAUAAAAAUUAUAAAGAGUAUAAUAUUUAUCAUACCUUUACUUCUUCAUCAUAUACAUCUUUCGAAACUGUAAUCAUCUUCAAACAAUCAUCCCAGCCAAAGCCACUUUUAUUUUUAAGCUUGGUUAUUAUUCCCCAUUCUUUUUUCACAGUCUUGAGAUGAUUAUCAACAUGCUUAGGCUCGCAUUGCACAUUGAACUUUUGACUGAUUUCUGUAGCCACCUUAACAAAAGAUUCUGCUUUAAAGGUGGAAGAAGGUUUGCCUCCUUUAAGUGCCUCCUCAGCUAAUAUCUCAAGCAACAUGUGAGACAUAGGCUUAGACCAUGUGAAGUGCUUGCCCUUGCAUUUUUCAUUAUGCGUGGAACUCAUUUCUACAAAAAAGAAAUUACAAAUUUAUACAAAAUAAAAUCAUACAAUAUUUAGAUUUAAUAAAUUUCAUAUAAAAACUACAAUUAAUAAUUAAAAGAGAAAUUAUAAUAAAGUCAACAUCUACUCCAAACACAUAACAAAUAUAAUACAAACUCAAGCAACAUAAUAAAAAAAACACAUAUAAUUAACACUCAAUUACUAGUUUCUUUGAGUGUUAUAAUCAUUCCACAUGGUUGAGCAAUCAUUUCUCUUUUUGUUAUCCACUCCCUAUUCUCUUCCCUUUCCUCCCGUUGACUUAAGUUGAUUGUUCGUCUAAUUGGUUCACUAUCCGAACAUAUUUCUUCCAUAAGAAAGUCAUAAGGAUCAACCCCCAUUAUGUGAUUAUGAAUAAUACAACAUGCAAGCACAACAUCUACUUGUGUUUCAUAAGACCAAAAAGAUUUUCCAUCAAUUGAUCUAAAACGACUCUUCAAAAUACCAAACCCUCGCUCAAUAGCGGUUCUCAAUGAAGAGUGUCGAAGAUUAAAUAACUCCUUUUCAUUUUCUAGUGAACGUUCUGUAAACUCAUUCAAGUGAUAUCGAACUCCACGAAAAGGAGAAAUGAUUCCUUUUCGAAUACCGUAACCAGCAUCACCAAGAUAAUAUUUCCCUACAAAAUAAUAAAAAAAAAACCUAUUACUAUCUUUAUAUAAUAAGACAUUUUAUAUGUUUAUUGCAUAUAAUACAUAUUUUAUUAUAUACCUUCUGGAAUUUUUAGACCAUUAGAUCUUGAUAAUGCAUCACCUAAAACCCGUGAAUCAUGGGCACUUCCUUCCCAGCCAGCUAAAACAUAUAUAAACUUCAAAUCAAAAGUUAUAGCUGCUAAAACAUUUUGUGUUGUUCCUUCUUUUCGACCUCGAAACUUUCCUUGAAUCUCAACAGGAACAUUUGCAGGAACAUGGGUACCAUCAAUUGCUCCCACACAAUCCUAUAUAAACAUGAAAAAAUAAUUUAUAACAUUUUCUUCUGAAUGUAAUUAAUUAAUUCAUAAAAAUAUUGGUAUUGUUUUCAUAUCUUAAAAUGAGGAUAGAAUCUUCUAUUAUUCAUUAUCUCUGCUGGAACUGUAUUCUUUGGCUCUUUAAUAAAGUGUUUGUAUAACUUAAGAAUUGCUUUUAAAACAAUUUUAAAGUAACGAUGGAUAGUUUCAACAGACCUAUAGUAUAUACCACUAAUAACCCGAAAUCUUUGGUUUUGGCCUACAAUUUGUAAGAACACAAUUACUUGCUCCCUAAUAGACACAUUUUGAGUUGAUCGUAAUAGGUUACGAUUUGUGAGAACAUCACACAAUCUAUAUAAGACAACAGGUUUCAUACGAAUCUGUUCAACUCAAUGUCGAUCACCUCGGUUCAAAAUGCUGUCAAUAUAGAAUUCUCGUUGAGCAAUUGCAUUUAUACGUGGUUCUCUUGGUAUAUAAAUUCUAUUUUUUUCUUCUUCAAUAAUAGCUACCCCUGUAGCUAUCACAGUUACAGUUGUUCCCAUGCAUGCUGCAUUAAUUAUCUUACUAUCCAUAAUAUGAAAUUGAAGUUUUCUGAUAACAAAACCUAAAAAUAUAAGGAAAUAAAUAUUAAAACAAGCAUAUAAAAUACUUACACAAUCAAUACAAUAAAUUAUGCUCAAAGAAGCUGACAAUAUACAAUUCAGAAGUUCACAACGAUCAAUAACAUCAAUCAUUUUAAUUCUAAAAAAUAAUGUGAUUAUCAAAUAAUUAAAUAAACAUAAGUUUUGAAAAUCACCUCGUAUGCGGCAACACAACACACAAUCGAGUUCAUGGCUAGGUUCAAUUCUAUUCUAUUUUGGAACAAUACCUACUUAGAGUUAUAUUACAUUAUAUUUUAUUAUGCUAUUAAACACAUAAUUUAUAACUGAAAUUAUAAAUAUAGUAUAAUUGGUUCUACUACAACAAUAUGAAUAAAUUAACAUAAUUUUCUUUGUUCUCUCGCCUAUCUCUAACUCUCUCCUAUAAAAUUAAAGACGGUUUCAUUCCUUCUCCUCAUUCGAUUUCAUUCCCUUUCCCCGUGUUAUAAUCGUUCGGUUUCUCCUUAUUCGGUUUCUCCUCAUUCGGUUUCAUUCGGUUUCAUUCCCCUUCCCAUCAUCAUUCGGUUUCUCCUCCCAUUCGGUUUCAUUCCACUGUCAUUCCCAUCUCAUUCAGUUUGUCAUUCGGUUUCUCGUUCCCCUAGCAAUCAGUUUCUCAUUCCCCUCUCAAUCGGUUUCUCUCAUUCGAUUUCUCAAAUUCCUCUUUCAUUCCCCUCUGAUUCCCCUAAUUCCCCUCAUUCCCCCUAAUAAUUUUAUCGCCUAUCACUGUUCGUUCUCUCUUGCCUAUCACAGAUCAUUCUCUCUCGGUUGUCUCUCUUUCCCUGUUCUCUCUCGGCUCUGUCUCACCAAUCCCUGUUCUCUGAAGAAGCAGGACACUAUCACAUAUUGAAGGGGUAAGGAGCAGGAGAGCUAGACCUCAAGGAUCUACUCAUCAUCCCCAGUUCUCAUCCCUCUCUCACCUGACAGUUUACCCUCAUGUUUGCAUGUCUCUCUUUGUGCUGGAUCCGUCACAAGGUAGGGGCUGGUUAGGUCUUGUUGGGGAUUUUGAUUUCUCUCAAGAAGCUGCCGAAUGUGGAAGAAAAAAUGUGUGUUUUAUGGCUUGAUUGUGAUGAGAAAUUGAUUGGGUUUUUCUGCAGAUGUUGUUUGAAUGUGACGAGGAGAUGAAGAAGAAAAAUGGGUAUGAGAAAAAAAUUGACAGGCAGAAGAUAAAUUAACAGAAAUAAAAGUUUUUUUUGGAACAGACAAACAAGAUCAAGGAUUAUUUGCUAUUAUUCUUGCAGAUCUAAAAAAUACGAAGAAGAUGAAAACAUAAAGGAAAUAAUACAGAAAUUUGUUGAGGGAAAAAAUACUUGAACUGAAGAGUGUGAUUCUUCAAAUCUUCUUGCUUUUCAAUUGUUUUUGUUUUUGGACAGAGAUGCAGAGAGGGGAAAGAUAUGUUUUAUCAACGGAGCUAAAAAUAGGAAAGUGUUUUCCUUUUGACAAGGAAAGGAAAACACUUUCAAGUGGGGAAAGUGAAAUUUUUAGUUGACUGGAAUUAGUUUUCCUUUGACUUAUUUUCCGGAUAGUCACCAAACAUGGAAAACUAAGGAAAAUGAAUUCCUGGAAUUCAUUUUCCUUGAAACAAACAAGGCAUUAAGGGAAACUUGAAGGGCAUAAUUUAUGAAAUGACAAAAUUAAUGUUUUGAUCAAAUGAAUAAAUUAGUGGCUAGAAAAAAGGGUGUGAUGAAUAUGUAGAUUAAUGAAAUAAUGAGUUUAAAAGCCUAUAUGAGACAUAAUGAAUGUUCAAAAUAAAUAAAUUAAAUUUAGUUGAUCAAAAGGUAGAAAAAAGAUUGAGAUGAACUAAAGAAAAUAAUUAGCUGAAAAAAGCAUAACAAACAUUUGAAUUGAAAGAACGUGGUUGGUAAUUCAAGGUAGCUUCUACGAUGUUGAAAUGGGAUUAAAUAAUUAAUGAAUCCAAAAUUUAACUAGAUCAUAAGUUAAAUAUAUGACAUGAUAUUAAAGAAUCCCUAAAUGAAGCCAAGUAUAGUUAAGGAAUAGUGAAAUGGAAAGUGAUAUGAAAUAUAUUACAUUGUUAAUUGAGAAAUAAUAUGGAUUUGAUAUACUUGUGUAUAGAAAUGUAUUAUAUAUGAAAAAAAUGGCAAAACACAUGUAAUUUAAGGAAGGGAGGCUCAUUAAAUGAUAGAUCGAGUGAAACAAGUGAGGAUUAUGGUAUAGGUAAAAAAAGUUAAUGAAAUGAUACUUAGUGUUUAUUAAUUCUAGAAUUUGAUUAAUCGAUUACUUGGAUAGAAUUUUAGUGUACAAAAAAUCUUGUUUUUUGUUUUAUGUGUUUUAUAGGUGUAUCCAUCUAGGGUAUCUUGAGUUCAUGCUCCAAAUCUUUAUUGGUUAUUUUAUUUUGAGAGAGAUUUUGUAAAACUAGUUAAAUUUAUAGAGUAAAUCAUUAUAUGUAAUUAAGCCAUAACUAAUAUAAGGAUUGAAAUAAUAAUGAAAAAAAGGAUGAAUACCUUGUUAUGUGAAAUUAUGAGACUGGGCUUCCAAUAUGAUAUUGUGAGUGUGUGUAUAAAUUUACACAUUUCUUAUGCAUAUUAUAGCUAAGAUUUACAAGGCAUUACAAUUGCAGUUUUGUAUGCAUCUAAGUUGUAGUAUAGUAUGUAAAUAUAAGAAUACUUACAUGUGUUUAAUCAUUGUCUACCUUAUUAAGUAUUUCAGGUCCAUCUUAUCUACCACCAUCUUCUCAAUCUCUCUAUUUUUUUUUUUCAACCAUAAGGAUUGUAAAGUGAUGAAAAUAAAGUUUUGAUCCAAAAAACAAAAGUUUCAAACUAAAAAAAACCAAAACUAAAAAUGAAAAAAAUCAUACUAGCAAAGAUUUGUAAAAUAGCACCUCAUGAAUAACAUUAAAAUAAAUUGCAUUUUUUUAUCACAAUCAAAUUUAGUAUAACAGUUUUUAUUUUUUGCAACCAAUAAAACUGACUUUUAUCUUAUAAGAUGGAACAUCAAUAAAUUAUUGAGAAGUUUUUUUUAAUAUCAUGAUAACCCUAUAACAUGCUAAUUUAAACAAUAAAUCAAGCCAAAACCCUUGUCAAGACACCAUACAAUGAUGAAAUUUAAAAAAUAGUAAUUAAAUUAUAAAACUAUAAAAAAUAGGAGACACUAUUGAAAUCUACAUUAAUUUCACUCACAACACACAAUAUAUUGUUAGUGAAUACGUCUUGUAGCUAAUAGUUGGUUACACGUUCCAUUGAUUUUAUUAAUUUAAAACAUAUUUAUUAUUAAUAAAUGUUUUAUUUAUCUUUAAUAUUUAUUUAUAUUUGAUUAAUAAAUCUAAUGUAUAAUUAAUGAAUAUAGAGUAAAAAUAAAACUAAUGGGACAAAAAUACUUUACAAAAAAAAUUAUAAAGUUAUUAUAAUUAUGAGAUUCUUGUUGUAUCAAAGUAUUGUUCGGAAUAAUUUGUUCCUAAAUGUUCAUGGUCAAUGUUCUAUUAAUAUUGAACAUUAAUUAGAGUUGUUGAGACCAAUGCAUAUUAUGUUUUUUCCUUUAUAAAAGAAAGCAAUUGCUCUCAUAAACUGAGGUAUAAGAGAUAACUAAAACUAAUAUACAAGUAUUUGUUAGAUGACAUAGACACUGAAUUGACUUGCAAGGAAUUCCGUGUGGAGAUCACCUUGUCUAUGAAAAUGUUCUCGUGAUAGUCGUAUAAGUUAUUCUUAGACUUGAGAUUACUGAAUUAUAUUAUAUAGAGAGUUAUGCUUUGAUCUCGACCACACAUUGUUAUAAUCAAGAGUAACAAACUGGCAAAUAUUGAGUAUAACAUAAACUAUAUGAAUGUAUUUAAGUAAUUAAAAGAUGAUUCACCAUUCUAGGUGAAUUAGGAAAAAAAUUUCAUUUGUUUUUAAAUAGUAUUGAUUGUGAAAUUCUUGACCAAUGUAAAAAGAGUUUCAAAACCGUAUUCAAAGAAUCAAUGCCUAUAACGUUGAGAACUAAAAUGAUCUAAUAAAGCAGACAUACUUCAGUCCAUGCUAUAAUAUUUAAAUUAAAAUACUCAUGAUGAAGGGAUAAUAAUUACACUGAAAAACUAGUCACUAAAAAGUUAAGUUAAAUCACUUAUGACUUUCCUAAUAUUUAAAGGAUCAUGGCAUGUUGUUAGACAUUGUACUUGAUCUUCAAAUAUAAAUCAAUUAAAUAUUAAAUUGAUAAUAAAUUAAAAAUUUUAAUUUAUUUUAUUUUAUUUCAUUUAGGAUUAUAAUUUAUAUUGAGGCCAACUUAUUAGGAAAUCUAAUGGGUUACACACAUAAAAAUCAUUGGUCAUGAAUUUAAAUCGAAUGAUUAAUCAAAUGUGACUUGAUUGUAAAUACAUUUUAGAAAUUAAGAAUUAUAAUGUAAUUAAUACAAGAGAUUACAAUUAUAUACCUAGAAAUAAUCAAGAAAAGACUUGAUUUGAUAAAUUUCUAAAAUUAACCUAAAAUAAUAUAUAUGAUAUUGUUAAUUUAAGGGGUAACUUGAUAUUUUAUCAUUUAUAUUAUUUUUUAGGUUUUUUUAUAAAUAGAAAAUUAUACCUCUUAUUUCCACCAUGUAGAGAAGAGUGAAAAAAGUAUAGUAUGCAAACACUUAAAAUACAAAAAGAAAAAAACUUGUACUCUAAGUUAUAGUAAUUUCUCUCUUCUAAAAGGGUUUAAGAGUUCUCGCUAGUGGUUCAUGUGGAUUAUCGUUAGUAGCCAGACAUUUAACGACUUGUGGUUUUUGACAACUCAACCUUGAAGCAAAUAUUCAAUAUCCAAAGAACACCUAAUCUCUAGGUAAUCUUCACAUAAAUAUCAAACAACUCUAGAUAUAUCUAACAUAAUCAUUUGGAGUCUCAAAAAAUUUUAAAUUUAUUAUUUCCGUUGUGUAUAUGUGUUUCAAGAAACCCAACAUAUACUCCAGAAUAAACUCACCACAACAAUUUGUUUUCUUCUUAAUUUUAGUUUGUUUGGUAUUGCGAUAAGUUUUGUGAUUGUGGUAUGGAAAAAAAAAGUUUUAAAAAAUCACUUUUAGUUAUGGUUGCUUUGAUUAAAAUAUAUGUUUAAUUAAAAUUAUGGUUAAAGUUAUUGUUCAAUAAAAAGUAUGUCCAAAAUGUUUCGUUAAAACAAUGGUUGAAAUUGAUGGUGGUACUAAAAUGAUUUAAAAGUAUAAAUAUUAAUUUUUUAUUUUCCAAUUACAUUAAUGUGCAUUUUAUUAUUAAUAUAUUUUAAAAAACCAAUUAUGUGAAUUACAACAUUGAUUUUAUUAAAUUUACUGUAAUACCAUCACAAACAUGAUCUAUAUAGGAAGACCUCUCGCUUUAACGGGAUUGUGAACAUAAAACCACAUCGAUUAAAAAAAUUCUUAGGAACAAAAUCAAGAUGUGGAUCAAAUUAUAUAAAUAAUUGGUGAGAAUUAAUAUAUAUAUAUAUAUAUAUAUAUAUAUAUAUAUAUAAUUUAGACAUAUAGAAACUUGGAUCUUGGCAAAUUUUUAUCUUAUACAAAAACUAUCCUGCAUUAAUUUUUUGUUAUUUUGGUUUGGGUAGCAAAUUUAACAAUAAUAAAACACAACUUCAUAAAAAUUAGAGGAAAAAUAUAGUGAAAACAUGCAGAAAUAUCGUCUAAGAAAGCGAGUUCAAAACUCAUUUAAUGGUAAGGCUCAUUAAAAACUAAAUUUAAAAAAAAUAAAGAAAUAGCUUUUUAGAUAAUUUUGAUAUAUUACUAUUAAAAAUGUAUUUUUUAAAAUAAUAUUUUAAUAUAUUUUUAAAUAAAAAAUAUUUAAAAAAAUCAAAAAAAUUAAAUAUCAAAUAGACUUUUUAUACGAAAACUUUUUUAAAUCCCAUAGAAAUCUAAGGGGGUGUUUAUUUGUACGGAAAAUUGUUUUUUGGAAACUAUUUUUCAAACUUUUCUGUGUUUAUUUGUCAUUAUAAAAGUUGGUCAACAUAAAACACUUUAUAAUCAAAGGAAAAUUUGGCUUGAUUUCUAGAAAAGUGUUUUCUUUUUAUUUUGAAACAGAAAACAUUUUCCAGAAGUUGUGAAAAAUUUAGAAAUAUCAUAUUAUUUGCUGAUUGCAUUAAAUUUGAUUCCCAAACUUUUGAUUGAUAUAUAUUUUGUUUGAUUUUUUUUUUAAUUUUAUCCUUUAAAAUUUGAUUUAAUUUGAUUUUUAUAUUAACUUUGAUUCUUAUUUUUAUAAUUGUUAUUUGCUUUUCUCUUACUAAUGUUUUAAUUGAAAUUUUUUAUCCAAAAAAUUUGCUCUUCAUUCUUUUGAUUGUUACUUAUUUUAUUUGAAAUAAUUUAUGAAAUUGUAAUUAUUAUUAUUUUAAUUUUAUUAUUUUAUAAUUUUUUUAUUUGUUAGAUUUGGUCUCUAUUAUUUUGAUUAUUAUUUAUUUUAUUUUAGAUAAUUUAUAAAACUAGAUUUUUUUCAAUUUCAUUCUUAUUCAACUUUUUAAUUUGUAAGAUUUGUUCCUCAUUAUUUUAAUGAACUUGAUAAAAAAAAUAAAAUAUCAAUAAGUUAUUUUCUAGUUUAUUUUUUAUAAAAUAACCAAACACUGAAAAAUAUUUUUUAACUUAUUUUUCAUAAUACUAUUGAACAUUAAAAAAUAAGUCAAGAGAAACCACUUAAAAAAAACACUUUCGAAACAGGAUAUAAGUGAAAUAUUACUAAAAUGCAGGGAGAAAAACAUAAAUUAUGUAACAUUUUCAAUUACCCGUAUGUCCCGAGGCACAUUCAAAUCAAAUCAACAAAUUAGAAUUAAAAAAAAAGAGAGAAAGAUGAAAAAAACGCAGAUAAAUUGAGCGGGCUUUCGCUAGGGUUUUCACAGAACAAAAACCCACUCGCUAUCUCUUCUUCUUCUUCGAUUUUUUCCCCGGCGAUUUACUAUUCUCAUUUGUCACCACCAUUGCGGUUUUGAGCGAGCAGAUGCAUUACUCCGUGCACUAAACGGCACCGUUUGCUUUCCCUAGAACCUAUAAUACACAACUGGACUCAGGUUCUGUUUCCUUUUGAAAUUCUUUUGAUGAUCACGUAAUCCGAAAUCCGAAAUCCGAGAAAAGUACACAGUAUGUUUUUGAGCUGUUUUUUUAUAUGAUAUUAUUUGAAUUUAAUUUAGUAGACAAUUUUUAUUUUUAUUUUUCAUGAAAGGAGUUGCUGUUUACUUUAUUUUCGGGCGACAUGCAUGAAUGCUAUGUGAUUGUGCAUUUUUUUUUUUCGCGGUGCCAAUUUUGUUUAAUUAUGCAUAAAUACAGAUAAUUACUGUGGCAUCGGUAUGCCAUUAUGGAAUUAGUUUUUGUCUCUAAUAAUUUGAAACAUAUCAGCUCUUGAGGUUUUUUCUUGCGAUGUUGUUAUUAUACCACAGCAGCAUUUCAUUUCACCAAAAAGAGGGGGGGAACCUAAAAAUUGAUUUUGGAAAAUCAGGGAGGGGUUGUUUUACCCUCCAAAAUUGCCGCACCGUGGCGAUAUUCAUGAAUGGAAUUUAAUAGUUAAGGGACUAACGGCGUACAGUUCAAACUGUAAUGCUGUGCCCCUGCACUGUCGGAUUAUGUGGUGUAAUGUUUGUCCAAGGGUUUUUUUUUUGUCAGAAUGCUUAGAGUUUAAGUUAGACAAGCUAACCGGCAAAUUAAUGCGUGAUUGCAGGGAAAACUAAUUAUGCAUGGUGAAUCUUGAUAAAUAAGUUACCUGUGGAUUGGAAAUGGUAAUGUGUUUCCAACAGAAAGUGUUACAUUUAGAUGUCCUCUUAGAGCUUGAACUUUCUCGAAGAACAUUUAUGUUUAUUGAUGUCGUUAAUUGGUGUUUACACACUGUUUAGAAAUGAUUGAAGUGUUCUUACGUAUGGCUGUUCUCAUGACUCUGUUUUAAAAUACUGUAGCUGUCUUCUGAUAUGGCUCUAGCUUCCUUGCUUGUUUUUGAAAUGUUUUUCCUCUUUUCUGUUUUUUUUUCCAGCUUGAUUCUACAUGUUUUACUGAACACAACAAUUUGGAAUAGCCUGUUAUCUGAGUAUGGUAGAAGCAGAAAAAGCCAACUGCAUUGAAUUCAAGUGGGGUAAAAAGAGAGGAGUUGGUGGCAAAAAGAAAGAUGUACAGUUUUAUGAAUCUUUCUUUUAUGAUGGUGUGGACUAUACUCUUUACGAUUCUGUUUAUAUGUACAAGGAAGGUGAGCCAGAGCCUUAUAUUGGUAAGCUCAUAAAGAUAUGGGAGAAUGCUGACAAGACAAAGAAAGUGAAGGUUCUAUGGUUUUUCCGUCCUCGUGAGAUUUCAAAUUAUCUUGGAGACGAGAAGACUCCCAAGAAUGAAUUGUUUUUGGCCUCUGGUGAAGGUGUAGGCAACACAAAUGUUAAUCCUUUGGUAAUCAUUUUAGAUUAUACCUUUUUUUAAUAUAAUUUUGGCUUGUCUUCGGUAGUGACUUGUUAUAUGACUGUAAUGACAUAUGGUUUGGAUGGUUUAUAAAUUUCAAUGGGGGAGUGGAGAAGCUUAGUAUAAAUUUUGUGACACAAUUGCUAUUGGAAUAAUGUCCAUGUUUGGUCAAACGUACAUAAAUAUAUGCUGCAUGUUGAAGUUCUACAUGGGGCACUUUCAUAACAUCAUACUCAUCUAGUUACCUCGUAAGUGCUAAAAGGCAAAUAGGUUUCAUGGAGAAAACAAGAGAAAACUAGAGGGUUCUAUAUUUGCAAAGACAUGUUCAAUUUUUGUUUUAAUGUUUGGGCUCCAUGUUCCUCAGACCUUCCGUUAUAUUUGACACAUGAAGUAGAAUUUGGACAUAACAUCUUUGAGGGGCCUUGCCUGAUCUCGCAUUGAGGGGAGAGAAGGCACAAUGAGGUUUUUUUCCCUUUUUUAAUUCGUUUCUUUGAUUAUGUUUGGGCUUAUAGCAGUCCUCCAUUUUUUCUCUAGAUUGUUUUACUUAGGGUUCUUGUCAAGGAAAAUAAGGUCAUCCAUUCUUAAAAUUUAAUGUAUUGUUUUCAAUAUUUCCUACACUUUUAAUUACAUCUAUUUCAUUCUUAAUUUGUAGCCAAAUCUUCAAUAGGUCCUCUUGGCAUAAUAAGAUGUCCACUGACAAUCAUACAUACAAAAUGUAAUGCUUUUGAAUAGAAAUGAAACAGUGUUAUUUCUUAACACCUUAAAACAUCGUCUUGGGUGUUUUCUGUUAUCUUUUACUGAAAUUUAAGAAAUUUUCGUACUGGACUUCAAAUUCAAUUUUUUUGCAUUGGAAACAUAGUUGGUGCUUUUGAGGAGCUUGUUCUAGUCAGGUUAAUUUCUCAUGCAUCAAAUCAGGAAGCAAUUGCUGGAAAAUGCAAUGUGGUAUGCAGUUCAAAGGAUAGUAGAAAUCCACAACCAUCAGAUGAAGAACUUCAAGAGGCUGACUUUGUAUUUGACCGUGCAUUUGAUGUUGGGAACUGUAGGAUCUUGGAUAAGAUAGAUGAAAAAAUUGCUGGGAUUGAAGGUAUGUGUUUUUUUUUGCCUUUAAUACUCCUGUACUAUUCUUUUAUAAAUUGAUUAAGACUUUAUCAUUACAUUCCUGUAUGUUUGCCGUGUCUUCAAUUGUUGCAGUAAAGUUCUUAUUGAACAGAGUUGGUAAUCAGAAUUCCAGUGGUGUUCCAAAACUUGAUUCAAACAAGAAAGAAGUCAGUGGAAAUGCUGUGGUUACUGAUGACACGAGGAUUUUGGCCAAGAAAGAAUCUUAUCCUGGAGAGAAAGCUGCUUCUAGUUCUGGUGUACAGUUUGAUGAAGUAGCUAAAACAAAUGAAAGGCAGGUAGAUGUUUUUGGCGAGACUGCAAGUUCAAGUUCUAAGAUUAAGGAAAUUUCAGACAUGUAUAACCUUCAUUGGUCAAGAACAAAUCUUCACUAAUAGAAAAUUCUGUAUCUAAUUUAGGCUGGGUUAGGUGAAAUUACUAAAGAUAAUAAAAAGGAAAGCAUAUUGAUUGACAUCCCUUCAAGAUCUAAAGAUGAUGUUGGCAAGAGUGAAAGUAAAGUUGGUAAUGUCUUUGUUGAUCAGGUUUUAGUUGAAGAGAAAUUGAAAGUUGCCAAGGCUUCUGGUGACUUGGAUGACAGAUCAUGUAAGAAAGCAAAGCUUGAUGACUCGGCAAAAGCAUCUUAUGAUAACAAGGUGAAAAGCACACAGAAAUUAAGACAUGAUUCCAAUGACAGUAGUUCCAAGGCUGUGGCUCAAAUAACCCCUGCUGCUGAAGAUAAAUCAAGGCCUAACCUUACUAAAGAUCCCCAGGAGACCAACAAUGCACUUUCCGAGAAGCCAAAGCCUGAUGAGAAGCUAGCUAAUGGCAAGUUUCCUGAAGCAUCUCUAAGACAGCCUUCAGAGGAGGCCAGUAAAACUAACUAUAAAAUACAGGAACCCACUCAAAGGCCAGCAACUGUAAGUUGCAUUGCCAGAAGUCCUUUUUUUCCCUUUAUUUAUCAAGGUCUGUUGCUAAAUAACUUUAAUGUUGUACUUCCAUUUACUUAGCAUCGAUGCUUCUAUUAAGCAAAAAUAAUGCCUUUUGACUUAAGUGAAGAGCUAGAAGGAUAAGAGUACUAAUGCUGAACUGAGAAAAGAUGGAAGACGAACCAUAGGAACCUACCCCUUGAACACAAGGAGUUUUCUUCAACACACUGAAAUACACUUGAGAGUUGAAUCUGAUUCUCAAUGCAUUAUCAUAAAUAGCUGUCCUUAAAAUACCGCUUAAGGUUUUUCAUAGGUACCAACUGUAGAACAGUUCUAAAGAGAGUGGGAAAGAAAUAAAACUUUCUAUGGUUUACUGUUUAAUCAACAAGUUAAAUAACAAACUUCUUAAACAAUAAUAAAAUUUCUAAAGUGAUACAGUUACAGAAAAAACAAACCUAAACAACCGAUCCCAGAUUGCAUUGAGUAGCUUCUGCAUGGUGCCAACUAUAAUUUUUUGGGGUGUAACAGACUACUGUAGUGAUGUUAUAGAAAAGAAAGGGUGGAUUCUGGAAAAAAUAUGUGCUAUAUAUGUUUGAGAUUUGGAUUGCAGCAAAAGGAAUGAUGUGCUCAAGCCUCAUUGGUUUCCUGUAUCUCCUUCAUUUUCAGCUCAUUGAUGUCUUGCAUUCCCUGCUUUUAAUUGUGCUCAUUGACCUCUUAUAGUGCCUGCUUUGUUGUUCUUGAUGAGUAACCUGUGGUGAAAGUUAGAUUUAGUACUUACAUUUUUGUUAUUGAUAUGUUGACAGGAUAGAAGCAAGUGGUUUCGAGGACUUGUGAGUAUUCUUUCUCAAAUUUGUUUCUGCUCCUGAUUUCAAGUGAUUUUACGAUCCCUACAUUUUUAUUGUUGUAUUUUGCUUUCUUUCUUGAAGGACCAUUAAACCAAAGUGAUUUAACCAAUGUCUCUCAAUACUCUUUAAAGGUUUAGAAUUCAAUGCCCACUGACCACAAAAAAAAUCUAUUGUUGGCCGCUUGCUUAGCCUGUAGUCGAAUGGGCUAUCAUAUAUAGGGAGGCUCUAGCCCUAGAGGUAGACUAGUUGGAGGCCCAACCGAUAAAGCAAAGAGUGAUUUAAGCUAGAUGCUAUUGUAGAUUAUUGAUGUGAUAAAAAUUAAGUCAAAAUGGGACACGCUAUAAUAAUGUUUUAAUUGCCUUGUAUAUUCUUACCAGCCAUGGGAAGAAACAAUGCAAACUGCUCAUGAGCAAGGAACUCUUGUCCUGCUACAGAAUUUGGAUCCGUCUUAUACUUCAGCAGAAGUAGAGGUGAUUCUGAUUCUAGAAUUCAUUUUCUUUACUAGCUUAUCCUCUUCCAUCCCUUUCUGUUUCACAUCACAACCAUGCUGUAGUAAAACACUUCAUGUGCGGUUUUCCUACAGUAAAGUGGAUAUUUCAACCCCCACUUCU